GAGACUGCCUGCUUCACUUCACCAAGAAUCCUCUUGAUUUUUGGCUGAUUAACCAAGGUCCAAAAGUACCUCUCAACAUGAGGGAAUUCAGAGGUAAAACUCUUGGUCAUGAUCUGGAAGAAACCCAAGUAGAGAUUACAUGUCAUGAUAAUGUCAGCAAGGGUGACAGCAUGUCCAACAAGAAAUGUGUUGGAAGCAAGAUGAGUGUUCAAAGCGCCAAGGGCUCUCUUCAAUGCAGUAAUAGCAGCUUCCUCAGCCUACAUGCAAAAUACAAAUAAGAGAUUAAAAUGAAAUAGAUGGGCAAAAUCAUACCAUUAAAGUAAAAUGAGCUACUACUGAAUUACAAAAAUAAAAUUUCUCUUUAUAUAGAUUAAUAAAUACAUCAGAAUGGGGGAGAAAACAACCUAAUCUCUUAAAAAAAUAAUGAGGAGAAAACCCAUGCCUACUUGAUUAUCAAUUCAAUGGGCAUUCCCUUCUACCAAAAUUACUUAAUAGUGCUUGAGUUGAUUCCUUUCCAGAAACUAUGCAUGGGAAAACACCACCACAUUAAGCAUGUACUAAAUGUUGUGUAACUAAUCCUCUCUAAAAUAAAUAAAACAAGAAUCAUAGACAGGUAAUCAAUGCCAAUUUUCCCUUCACCAUGCCCACCUUAAUAUUAUGUAUUUUGAUGACUAAGCUGCCUUAUUCCAAUUUUAACAUGGGACCUAUUGUCUUAUAAUUAGAAAGAAACAAAGACUAAGUAUGGCCCCAGCAAAUCAAGCUUAAUUAAAAUGAUAAAAGAAUCUGCGAGGAAAGAUAGUAGAACUUACUGGAGGAAGGUAAACACCGUAACCAAGUCUUGGAUACAACCAUUUGGCAAUAUUAGCAUCAAUUUCCAUGGCUGCAAAAUCAAUCCAUUGCUCGAUAUGACCCUAAGAAAGCCAAAGUAAUACAUACAAACAAUUACUUCCAUGGUUUAAAAUAAACUUAACUGAUGACAGAAGAAAACAAGACCAUUGUACUAUAAGAAUCUUACAUAAUCAAUCAAUGUAGAACCACAUAUAGGGUUGUUAACCUUUGAGCGAGCAACUGCAGAGAAAAGUAUACCAAUAAGUAAACAAACAUUAGAGGAAGAAAAUUUAGGAUAUGGAGUCAGCAGAUCUUCUCACCAUAACGAGCAAUGGCAUUGCUCUCAAAUACCGGACCCUCAGGUGUUUCCAACACAGGAACCUAGAAGAGUUAUAAAUAUCUUCAGUGAACUGACCUAGAAAAAAGGUUACGUAACAUGCAUAAAAAAAAUUCUCCAGUUUAAAUAUAUUAAUAGGCGUUACAAGGUCACCUUCCCCAAAGGGUUCAUCUUGAUGAACUCAGGAGUCUUAUUUGACACACCCAUCUCAAAAUUCUCAACCAUUUUGACCUGCACACCACUAUAUUCUGCAGCAAUGAGUGCCUUAAAGGCAUUUUUGUUUGUUUUUCCUGCAUGCAAGAUCUGCAUGUAAAUCAACACACCACAUUGAUUAGAUGAACCGGUUGAUUAAGAAGUUGAAUACAAUGUCAAACACCAGUCACUCCCUACAACUAAUCCAGGAAAAUCCUGAAAUUAAUCCUUUUCGCCCUAUAAAUUCUCUUAAAGACCAUUCCCUUUACAUUCUAAACUACUAAACGGUACUUAGCAUUUCCAUCUACCAUACACAAUUAACCUAAUUGACGUAACAUCUCGCCAUCAAUCUUUCUUCUGGUCAAUGGUUCCCAAUUGAAAUCUAAGGUGGUAGAGUUAAAAUCAAAAUCAAUUUUUUUUUAUCGUUAUGAUUAGUAUCUACAAAUCCAUAAACUAUUCCAUUGAUAGUAACUAUAUAAAACAUAUUCAAUCUGCCACUUCCUUCGCAAUGUAAAAAAGCUAGUUACAAAUUUCACUUUCUAAUUCUACUCGAAAUAACUUCCACCUAGUCAUUAGGUGUCAAUUCUGUCAACAGUUAAACUACCACAAGAAACGAAACUAAUAUAGAUACACAGAUAUAAAGCUUACCAGAGCCAUGGCUUGAUAGAAAAGAGCGCUACGAUUUGAGAACUGAGAUCUGGAAAUUGAAAAACAGAGAAUAAAAAUAAACGGAAUAAGGAAAAAUAUUCAAGCAGGAGAACUUGAUUGCCAUGUAUUAAGGAGAAAAAAUGAGAGAAGGGAUUAAGAAAGAACCUUAGACGAAAUCGCAGCGAGAAGGAGCGGGAGAGACUGCGGGACAAAGAGAGAAUAAAAGAAGGGGGGACUAGGGUUUUUGUAGAGUAGAGCGAAUGUGAUGUGGGGUUAUCAGUUCGGGUUCCGGUUUAGAUCCAGAUUUACUAACCCCUUUCUUUUUCCGGUUCUUUUAAGCGUGUCUUUCAAGUAAUAAGUGGGUGAGUUAGAAGUAGAGGUGAUCAUGGGCCGUGCCGGGCCGGGUCGGGUUCGGGCUGAACUCAUACAAAUUUUUAGGCCUGUUUAUUAGGCCCGGGUUCGGCUCGAAAUAUGGGCCUAAAAUUUUGUCCAAGCCCGACUCGAAAUAAAAUUACUAAGCCCGGCCCGGCCCGGCCCGGCCCAUAUUAAAAAAUUUUUUAUUUCAUUAAAUAAAAAAAUUUAAAAAUAUAAUAAAUCAAAUAUAUUUAAAAACAUAAAAACAAAUAUUAAAACAAAUAAAAAUAAUACUAAAACAAUUCUUAAAACAAUACACAAAUUAAUAAUAUAAUAAAAAAUAGUUAUAUUAAAAAUUUAAAAUAAUUAAAAAUAAAAUAAAUAUAUAUAUAUAUAAUUUGGGCAGGGCCGGGCCGGGCCGGGCCCGGGCCAAAAAACUCUUACCCGAGGCCCGGCCCGUUUUCUAAACGGGCCUCAUUUUUUUGCCCAAGCCCAUUUUUCGGGCCUAUAUUUUUACUCAAACCCUCCCAUUUUUUGAGCGGGCCUUCGGGCCGGGCCGCCCAGCCCAUGAUCAGCUCUAGUUAGAACUAGUUUAAUGGGAUUACCAUUUAAAGAAUAAUUAAAUAAAAAUUAUAAAUUAUAAAUUAUAUAAAAAAAUUCUCAUAACCAUUGAACCGUUGUUUUUCUCCAAUUUUCUUUUUCACAACAGUUUUGCUUUUUAUGUAAUUACACGCAACUAAUUUAUCUGGAUAGAUUAAAUCACGAAUUUUUAGUUUAAUUCUUUAGUUCACUCUGAACAACACUACUUAUCUCAAAUUUUUUAUUUUGUGUCUAGUUAUUAUUAUUAUUAUUAUUAUUAUUAUUAUUAUUAUUAACUUGGAGUAUAAUGAUUUAAAUUUUUGCUCAUGCAUGUUGAGGUUCUUUAUUUAGAUAAAAGUUAAUUCAAGUUGGGUUCAAACAUUGUUAUAUGUGAUAUUUUAUUUAAAAAAAAUUAAACUAUCCUCGAAUAAUUUAAUUUAUUUUAAAUAUGAAAAAUAUGUUAAAUUUGUAAAAUAAAUCUGAAAUAAAACUUAAUAAAUUAGGAUCUAUUAUGUCAAAUCAUCAAGAAUAAAUCAAAAACAAAACUAGAUGCAGAAGCGUACCUGAAUCCAUGAAUUCCUUGAAGUUUUACCUGAUCUUGGGGAUUUGAUCUUCUAAAUUGGAACACAAGAAAUUCAGAGAAUAUUUGCUCUUUCUUUCCUAAUGAUGAGAUAUUAGAAAAGAUAUCUUGUAUAUAAUUUGGGGACCAUAACCCUAAACUUCACAUAUUUGACCCAUACUUUAUUUAAUAAUUAAAACCCAGUAAAAUUUUAACCAAAUUAGAUCACUUUUAAUUUUGGCUAAUCUAUCAUGAUAAUAAAUAAUAACAUAUAAUUACCCUUAUUAUAUAUGUGAUGUCCAUAUUUUCCAACAAUCUCCCACUUGGACCACAUAUAUGUACUAAUUACUCUAUAAUUACAUGUCAUUAUAUAACCUUAUGAGCUCAAAAUUUUACUAUCAUAUCCAAAAGGUAUUCCAAAUAAUCUCGUCCAUUAAUUAUGUUAACAUAGAACCAAGGCGACUUUCGUUACGUAUAUCGUAACUAAAUCCAUCCAUGAUUACGUAUAUUAACACAACCAAAUGACAUAGAUCAAGUAUGGAUGUGUAGCAUGGAACAUGCAAUAUGAUCUAAACAUGUCUAUUUCCAAUUAGUCCUCCUUAGUGAGACCAAACCUUACCAAAAUCAGAGUGUGAAUAAACCAAAUAAACUUCAUUUCUGCAGAAAAUAAACUUAAUAUCUUUAAACUGAAAUAACUGAAAAUGUGUCUAUGACAUAAAAGCAUUUAAAAAUACUAUCUCCCACUAAAAUCAAAUAUCUUUUAAAUGACAUUACACUUAUAUGAGCAGUGUGCUCUUAUAAGACCUUAGGUGUAGUUCCUUAAUAAGCGGAUCUACAAUCAUGGAGUUUGUCCUAAUAUGCUUUAUAAGCACCUAACCACUCUGGACUUUUACUUUAACAACCAUGAACUUAAAGUCUAUGUGUUUUUACUUUGAUGUGCUCCUAUUGAUAUUGGAAUAAAAGACUGCAAAUUGUUUUCACAAUUUGCACCUUAAUGAAAAAAUCUUGUAUCCAUAUUCCAUCAAAAUCGAAGCCUAUAUACUUGAUGAUCUCUAACUGAUUAGACCUCCGAUAUGUGAACAUGUAAUCUUUUGUUCUCUGAAAAUACCUUAUAACCCUCUUGGAUGCGAUCUAAUGGUCCAAACCAGGGUUGCUUAAAAUAUCUGCCUAACAUCCCAAUAGUGUACACAAUAUUCCAAUGUAUACAAACUUGAACAUAUAUUAGACUUUCUACUACUAAAAUGUAAAAAAAUCUAAUGCAUUUUUGUAAUCUCAAAAUCAUUCUUAGGGCAUUGAUUGAAACUAUACUUAUUAUUGAUAAGCAGUAUGUCAUUAACAUAUAAAACCAAAUAUAGAACCUUACUCCCACUAAACUUAUGGUAUAUACGAUUAUCAAUAAAAUUCAUCUCUAAACCGAAUAAAAUAAUCAUUUGGUAAAAUUUGUAAUAUUAUUGACGAGAAGUUUGGUUAAGCCCAUAGAUGAAGUUCUUUGCAAAUCAUUAACUUUGCAUCAUUAGACACAAAGCUUUCUAAUUGCGCCACAUAAAUGUAUGAUCAAUGUUACCAUUGAGAAACCAUUAACUUAAUAUUCAUCUGAUGUAGCUUAAUGUCAAAAUAUUCCACUAAAGCCAUUAUAACCCUUUCUCUAGUGGACCUUUUUAAUGACAUUCAUUCUUGAGGUUGUUAAGUUUGUUUUUUGGAACAAUUACCUCAUCUUGAAUAGGGAGUUGUUUAACAUUGUCUUAUUGAGGUUCUAGAUUCACUUCUUAAUCAAUGAUAGGUAUGAGAAUCUAAACAUCAUCAAAAGUGAUAGUAAGAAUUGAGUUAAAAUUCAAUUCCUCCUUAAAAACAAUGUAUCUAACCUUAUUUCUCCUUCCAAACUCAACAUCCUAAAAGAAUGUUGCAAUUCUCAUCUCAAAAAAAUAUUCCUAAUUGUGGGAUUAUAAAAUUCAUAGCCCUUAGAUCGCUCAGUAUUUCCUUGACCUUAUACUUUAUAGACAUCAAAGAAGUUAGAAAUGAUGUCAUUUCAACCUUAUCAUUUUUAGCAAAACGUUUCUCAAUUUCGUCAAUGAAACCUUAGCCUGAGUAAUCUUUUCAGAUUCUAUGCCCUUAAAGGCUUCUAAAAUGUUGUGCCUCAUGAUCAUUAAACUCAUGCAAUUUGAAUGAUUCUACCUCUCAAAAUCCCUUUGUAACACUCUGAAAAUUUCUACAGUAAGAUAUUAUCCUUAAUAUAGUAAAAUAAGGAAAUAAAGUGACAAGAAGAGGAAAAUUGAGUUAUGUCACUGGGAAAUAUAUUAUGACAUAUCGAUUCAAGAAAGGACUAAAUUAUAAAAGUGAGAAAAUUUUUGUGGCUCAAGAGUAAAUACUCCAAAUUUGAGGGAUUAAAGUGUAAAUAUAAAAAAGUUGAAGGACUAAUAUUGCAAAUAUUUUAAGGGUGGAAUGAUCUAGAAACCAAGGAAAAUUGAUGAAUUAGGACCAAAUUGAAUAGGUGAAGAACUAUGAGGGACUAAAUUAUAAUUUUACCAAAUUAAGUGAUGACUCAAGAAUGGAAUUUUAAAAGAUCACAAAGGGCAAAAUGGUCAAUUGGAAGAGAGAGAAAUCUAGAAAGUAAUGUUAUGUUGGUGAUAUUUUAUAAUUAUAUAAUUAGAUAAUUAUUAUUUAUUUAAUAUUUUAAUAAGAUAUUUUAUUAUUUUAUUAUUUUAUUUAGUCUAUAUAUAUAUGUGUGUGUGGAAAAAAAACACACACUUACACACCAUCCAUCAUCUUUCCCAUGCACUAAUGUGAGAGGAAGAGAGAAUGAAAGAAAGUUUUACUUUCUUUAUAAUUUGGUCCUUCUACCAAAAAUUCACCAUUUUCACCCAAAAAUCAAAAGAAUUUCCAUAGCUACCAAGAGAGAAAAAUGUUAAGAAAACUAUGAGAAGUUAGAAUAUCAAGUUGGAUUCAAGAAAAAGAAGUUGAAGGAGAGAGAAAAUCAAGUUAAAGAUUGAAAUCAAUGGAACAAGGUAAGAACAUCAAGAUUUCAAUACAUUUUUAAGAUUAAUAUUAUUGAAAAAGCAUGGAAUUGAUGUUAAUGUAGAGUUUUCUUAUAUAUGGUCUUAUGUUCUUGAUAUGUUAGUGAAGAAAAAAAUAAGAGAAAGUAAUGAGAAAUAGUGUAGAGAAAGAAAAUAAAGGUGUUAUAAACAUGGUAAAUAAACAUCUUGCACUAAAACAGUUUUGGACAGCAGCAGUAGGCUAAAUUUAAAAAAUCACCAUAAAUUGUGGAAAUAGUAUUAGAGGAUUAAAAAAAUAUUGAAUUAAAUCUUAUUGAGUCUAGUUUCUUAUAGAAAAAACGGUACAAGAAAUGGAAUCGUAAAUUGUGAGAUAUAGUAAAUUUAGUGAGACAAUGUCAGAAUGAUUUCGAGUUCCCUUGUUCUGACUUUGGAAAAUCAUAAAAAAUUGGAGAAAAAUAAUUAGGUUCUUAAAGUUAUAUUUUUAAAAUUCUGAAUGAGUAAUAGAAACAAACGAGAACAUCAUCUGAAUCCUGUACAAUGAGAUAAUUAAUUUUUUAGUAAAGAAGGGUCGGAACUGUCAGACAACAGAAUAAGGGUGACUUUAAAGAAUAAAAUGUACUUAUUGGCUAAACCAAAAAUUCUUAAAAUUUUAUGGUAAGAAUAUACGUAAGUCUAGUUUCAUAGAAAAUUAGCGGAUCUUAAUUUCGAGUUUUGCAGCUCUAGAUAUAAAUAAUUAGUGACUGUGACGCAAAUGGACAAUUUUGAAUAUACAUAUAAGUAAAUAGUGAAAUUAUUGAUAAUGUUACUUGUAGCAUGUUAUAUAAAUAUAGGAUGUGGAAUGGAGAGGAUGAGGAGGAAAAUAUGCAUGAAUAUUCAGCUAGCAUGGCUAAUUUGCACGUUUUAGGCUCAGGGACUAAAUUGAAUAAAAGUAAAACUUUAUGGGCAAUUUUGUAAAAAUGUUAGAAAUGACCAAUUUGCAUGAAAUGGAUUAUUUAAUUAUUUAAAAUUGCAAACUUGAAUGAAAUUAUUAACUUAGUUCAAGAUCGGGGAAAAACAUGUUUUAAGGAUUAAAUUGAAAAGUGUUGAAAUUAUGGAAAAUUAUGAUAUUUUAUAGAAUUCAUGGGUUGUUAUCAAUUUGUAUGAGAAUAACGGCUAGAAAUAAGGAUUAAAUUGCAAGAAUUUUAUUUUUUUGAGCCUAAAGAUGAAAUCAUCAUUAAUUAAAAAGUUUAGGGGCAAAAUGGUAAUUUUGUUUAGAGCAUUGAAUGUAUUAGAACAUGAAAUAAAUGAAAACGACGAUCAAAUUUAUUUAUAAAGAUUCGGAUGACUCGAAUACGAGACUUGAACGUGGAAAAGAAAAAAUAUCAGAUUAAUGAAAUUAUAAACAUGAACAAGCAGCGAGGUAAGUUAGUGUAACUUGAAUUGUAUUUUUAAAUGCAUGAAAUAUCGAUAUAAAGAAUUAUCCGAUUUAUUUUUAUGAAGAAAUGGCAAGAGAAUGAUAUUUAUCAUGGCAUGUAAAUAUGUGAUUAUCUUUGAAAUUCAGUAUAUUGAGACGAGUAAUAAAUUCAAGUAAAACAUGUCGAGAAAAAUAAGUACGUUUAAGGGACAAUAUGUUUGAUUUUAAUUGGUUCCAAAUAUGAACGUUAGAUGAAAUAAAAUAUCUGAUAAAUAAAUCGAUACCUCCGGUAAUGCUCCGUAACUCUAUUUCGGUGAUGGAUUCGGGUUAAGGGCGUUACACCCUUUUAACAUAGGGGGUGCUUUCCGCAGUGAGAGGUGCGAGUAGUUCUUCCUUUAGUGCAAGGUUUAUGUUCAUACAGCCAAGCACUAUAAGUAAGUGCCUUUUCCAUUCAUUGAAAUUAGUCCCAUUAAGCAUGGGUAUAGAAUUUAUAUUAGCGGAUAUUGUGGCAGUAAUAUGAAUUAACUGAAUAUAGAACAAAAAAUAAGUAAAAAUAAGCUCACAGCAAUAUUCAUAAGUAAACAAUAAAUUCAGGAUAAUGGUUAAUCCUAUCUCAAGAUACCAAACACAACAUUAAUAUCAAUUUUUUGGACGAUAAUAUUAACAGUAAGCGGUACUUUUGUUGUAGCAAUCAAACAUUGACAAUAAAUCAUGUCAAACAAUGAAUUAAUCUUUAGACUGACAUAUUGCUCACAUAAAGUACCUUAUAAUUGUCACACAUUUAUCGCCACAGAUGUCGUUGAAAUUCUGCCAAAUAUUAACUUACCUUUGGGUCAAUUAAUAAACGCAUGAAUUACAAAAAUAUAUAAUCAUCUUGCUAUUUUAAAUAAACUAAUCUACACAAAAGAGGUCACUUUGGCGGUAUUUUGUUUCAACUAAUUUAUUUAAAAAUACUAGACAUCCUUAAUUAAAACCUAAAGCCAAAAUCUGAAUUUAUUUGUUUCAAAAUAUUUCUUUUAAUUUCAUCUUUCAAUCAAAUUAAAAGAUAAUAGUAUAUAUAUGUAUAUAUAUAUUUACCCCAAAACAACAUACAAUGAUGUUGGCAAAUAUAAUAAUAGUUGAAUAAAUCUUAAACCAUAAACAACCUCACAUAAGACUUCAAAUUUAAACUAAAAUAAUUUGAAUAAAGAUAAACCUCAACUUAAGAUAUCGGACACUCCAUUAAUAUUUCAUCUUUGAAAAAAAUAUUAACUUGUAAGUGAUAUCUUGGUGUAGUAAUCAAACAUUGACAAUAAGAACAUGUCGAACAAUAAAUCUUCCUAUGAGCCAAUUUAUUACUCACAUGUAAAACCGAAUAAUCGUCACAUGUUUAUCACCAUAGUUGCACAUGUAAUAUUAUUAACCUUCAUUUGGGCCGAUCAAUAUCAACAUAACUUAAGUUACAUGCACACAAACUUUUAUAUUUUAAAACAAAAUAAUUUAUACAAAGAAAUCACUUUGGUGACUUUUUGCUUCAAUUAAGUUAUUUUAAAAUAUAUAUAAACAUACCAAUAUUCAAAUUUAAAUUUCCCCAAUAGUCAAAUGUUAAAACUAUUUUUUUAUUGCUUUAUAGACUCUAUGUAACACCCCCACGCCCGAAACUGUCACCGGAGUCAAGCUUGAGGUGUUACUAAACUUAUCUUACCUUUUAAACAACUCUAAACCACUUAUUUUAAUUUUUGGAAUAAACUAUUUUUCUGCGUCAUGGUUGCUUAAAAAUUCAUUUCUCGAGUUUCAAAACUCAAAAUUAAGAUCCGUAAAUUUUUCCUGAAACUAGACUCAUAUAUCUAUCUACUAAUUUUUUUCUAGAAUUUUUGACUCGGCCAAUUAGUACAGUUUAUUAGUUAAAGUUUCCCCUGUUUCAAAACUCAACUACACUGACCUCUUCUUACUACAAGCCAUGUUUCUUCCUGUAAAAAAAUUCAUAUGACUAAGCCGUUUGUUUCUCUCAAAACUAGAUUCAACAAGGAUUCUAACCAUAUAAAUUACACCUUCUAAUUAGUUUUGUACAAUUUAUGGUGAAUUUCCAAAUUUGAAACAGGGGAUCCAGAAAUCGCUCUGACCCUGUUUCACUAAAACUUAGAUAUCUCAUAAAAUAUAAUACCUUUACCUGUUUUUCUUAUUCCAUAAGAAAAUAUAUAUAAUAAGCUUUAAUUUCAUAUAUUAUUCAUCUUCAAACUAUGUUUCUGAAAUUUUUAGUGAUUUUUGAAAGUUACGUCAUUUCUGUUACUUGAAUCUGUUUUUAGGUUACUUUCACAUUUUUCAUAAUUUUCAUGUGAUAAUCAUCAAUCAAUCAUACAUAUUAAUAAAUAUGUAUAUCAUCGGCUAUUUUAUUAGCUAAUCACUAGCAAGUAUUUACACAUCAUUCAUUGUUCAUAUUAUACCAAAAGUAGCUAAGUUUCUAUACAUGCCAUACCCAAAACAAAACGUCUAGUUAUACCGAGUUAUUUCUUUGAUAGUGUGAUCGGCCUCCGACGUUUCCUUCGAUCCCCGAGUGACUAGAUAAGUACUAUAAGAAGAAGAAAAUAAAGAGAUUAAGCACUAGGCUUAGUAAGCUUACAAGCAAAUAAAUCACAACAUUCAACAUAAUGGAUAAUUAUGCAUAAUAUCAUCUAACAUCAUAAAUUUCUUUACUUCUCAAUUUGUAUCUUCUUCUUUAUUCCCUUACCUUCUUUCUUACUUGACCUUUCCUUUUUCAUAAGUAUAAUCUACUUUUCCUUUGCUGUUAAUUCACUGUAAUUUAACUCGUAUCCUGACCCGUUGAACCACUCGGAAUACUAAGGAUACUAGGGUCGUUCCUGUCUAUCAAUAUCCUGCCAAUGCCAUGUCUUUGACAUGGACUUACAUGAAUUAUUCCUGUCUCCAAUGCCAUAUAUAAUAUGGACUUACAUGGCUCAAUCCUGUCUCCAAAGCCAUAUUUCUAAUAUGGACUUACAUGGCUCAUUUCUGUUUUGUCCUGUCAACUCUAAUAUCCUAACAUUCCUAGGGUUCAACCGGGGCUUUCUAACACUUUUCCUCUGUCACUCCACCUUAAAUUCGACUUUACAUAUUUUCAUAACAUAAGUAUAUAAAUGCUGGAAAUUGACAAUAAUAAUGUAAAAUAAAAGAAUAUUGCAUUUAUUUACUGUAACUUACCUUGAUACAAAAUGUGACUAAACUUUACAAUUUAGUCCUUUACUUUUUCUUUUCCCCGAUCUACUCCCGAAUUUCGUUCUUCUUGAUCUAUAAUAGCAAAUUUAACUUAUUUAAUAUUCACAUUUAUUAAAACAGUCCUUGACCCAAACUUUUGCAAAAUUAUAUUUUUACCCCUAAACUUUCACAUAUUUGCACUUUUGCCCCAAGGCUCGUAAAUUAAACUUCAUCCUAUUUUCUUAUGUUUUAUGAUAUGCUGAUCAUUUUUCCCUUCUAUGGCAAUAUCAAAAUCACACUCUAACAUAUACUUAUGACUAUUGGUAUUUUUUUCCAAUUUAAGCCCUUUUACUCGUUUUCACUUAAAACCGAGUAGCAUAAGUUGUUUAACAUAAUUUAAAACCUCAUAUUCUAUCAUAAGACACCAAAAUACACAAACUUCAGUCAUGGGUAUUUUUCCAAAUAUGAACCCUAGGCUGAAUUAUUGCUAGAAUAAGCUUAAUCAAGUUACCGGGACUCCAAAAACGUAAAGAUCAUUAAAAACGGGGCUUGGAAUCACUUACUAUGAAGCUUGAAAGUUGAAGAAACCCCAGCUAUGGAGGAGAGCAAAAAUCGGCAGAAACUAAUUGAGAAGAUGACCAUUUUUGUGUUAUUUUUCCCUAUUUAAUUCAUUUAAUAUCCAAAUGACCAAAUUACCCCUCCUUACUAAACUUUCAAAAAUUCCUUCCAUGUCCUAAUUUUUGUCCAUGAACUUAAAAUUGGUCAAAUUGUUAUUUAAACCCUCCUAAUUAAUAUUCCAAAGUAAUUUCAUACUAAAAACUUCUAGAAUGCAAGUUUUGCAAAUUAUUCAAUUUAGUCCCUAACCUCAACUUAAGCAUUUUAUGCAUGGAAUUUCAUCACGAAAUUUUCACACAAUCAUGCAAUCAUACCAUGAACCUUAAAAUAAUAAUAAAAUAAUUUUUUCUACCUCGGAUUUUUGGUUUCGCAACCACUAUUCCGUUUAGGCCCUAUUUUGGGAUGUUACAUUUCUCCCCCCUUUUAGGGAUUUUCGUCCCGAAAAUCUUACCUGUGAAGAGAUUUGGGUACUGUUUUUGCAUAGCCUCUUCGGGUUCCCAUGUAGCCUCAUCUACCCCGUGUCUAUUCCAUAGUACUUUUACAAGUGCAAUAUUUUUAUUCCUUAAUUGCUUUACCUCUCGAGCUAGAAUCUUUGCCGGUUCUUCACCGUAAGUCAUGUCUGGCUGAAUCUCAACCUCUGUCUGAGAAAUCACAUGUGAUGGAUCUGAACAAUAACGACGUAGCAUAGACACAUGAAAUACAUUAUGAAUCUUCUCUAACUCAAUCGGAAAAACUAACCGAUAUGCUAAUGGUCCGACUCUCUCAAUUACUUCAAACGGUCCAAUAAAACGUGGACUUAGUUUGCCUUUCUUGCCAAAUCUGAGAACUUUCUUCCACGGGGAUACUUUCAGAAAAAACUUUGUCACCAACUUGAUAUUCGAUCUCUUUUCUUUUUAAAUCUGCGUACGACUUCUGCCUGUCUGAAGCUGCUUUUAAACAAUUUCUGAUAACUUUCACUUUUUCUUCUGUUUCUUUAACUAGAUCAACCCCGUAAAUCUGGCUUUCUUUAAGCUCUGUCCAAUAUAAAGGUGUACGACAUUUACGUCCAUACAAAGCUUCAUAAGGUGUCAUCUUCAAACUUGACUGGUAACUAUUAUUAUAGGCAAACCCUACCAAUGGUAAGUAUUUUUCCCAACUACCUUGAAAUUCUAAUACACAACAUCUAAGCAUAUCUUCAAGUACCUGAAUAACUCUCUCUGACUGACCGUCGGUUUGAGGAUGGAAAGUUGUACUAAAACUCAACUUUGUGCCCAAAGCCUCUUGUAAUUUCUUUCAAAACCGUGAAGUAAAUCUUGGAUCUCUGUCUGAAAUAAUCGAUAAUGGUACCCCAUGUAGCCUGACUAUCUCUGAAAUAUACAACUCCGCCAACUUGUCAAGUGAAUAAUCCAUACGAACUGGGAUAAAAUGAGCCGACUUCGUUAACUUAUCAAUCACAACCCAUAUUGCAUCUUUCUUUCUCGGUGUAAACGGUAAUCCUGUCACAAAAUCUAUAGUAACUGAUCCCAUUUCCAUUUCAGAACUAGCACAGGCUGCAAUAAUCCUGAGGGUACCUGAUGUUCGGCCUUUACCUGUUGACAAAUCAAGCAUCUAGAAACAAACUCUGAAAUAUCUCUUUUUAUUCCUACCCACCAAUACAAUUUUUUCAAAUCAUUAUACAUUUUUGUACUGCCUGGAUGAAUAGAUAAAGGACUGCUAUGUGCUUCCUGUAAAAUCUUCCGAAUAAGCUCAUCAUUCUUUAGUACACAUAUUCUGUCUCUAAACAUCAAACAACCAUCAGAACCAAUCCAGAAAUCUGAUUCUAUGCCUGACUCACAUUGAGCUCUUUUAGCUUGUAACUCAUUAUCAUCUUUCUAAGCUUCACAAAUCUCUUCAAGAAAUACCGGUUUAGCUCUCAAUUCAGCUAAAAUAGAACCAUCAUCUGACAUGGCUAAAUUGGUAUUCAAAGCUCGCAAUGUAAAUAAAAGUUUCCUACUUAAAGCGUCAGCAACUACAUUUACCUUACCUGGGUGAUAAUCAAUCACUAAUUCAUAAUCUUUAAGCAAUUCCAACCAUCUUCUUUGCCUCAAAUUCAAAUCUUUUUGAGUCAUCAAGUAUUUCAAGCUUUUAUGAUCGGUAAAUAUCCGCCACCUUUCACCAUACAAAUAAUGUCUCCAAAUCUUCAAUGCAAAUACAAUAGCAACUAGCUCUAAAUCAUGUGUCGGAUAAUUUUUCUCAUGUGGCUUCAAUUGUCUAGAGGCAUAAGCAAUUAUCUUUCCUUCCUGCAUGAGUACACAACCGAGCCCAUUCAAGGAUGCAUCACUGUAAAUCACAAAUUCUUUACUCGGUUCCGGCUGUACUAAGAUAGGAGCUUCCGUCAACAAUGCCUUUAACUUGUCAAAACUUUGUUGGAACUUCUCAGUCCAUUCAAACUUAACAUCCUUCCGUAGCAGUCUCGACAACGGGGUAGCUAUCAUGGAAAAUCCCUCCACAAAUCGUCUAUAAUAUCCGGCAAGACCAAGAAAACUUCUAACUUCUGAUACAUUUCUAGGAAGCUUCCAAUCAACAAUGGCUAAAAUCUUGCUCGUAUCAACCUUAAUACCUUCACCUGAGACAAUAUGUCCAAGAAAACCAACUUCUCGUAACCAGAACUCACUUUUGCUGAACUUGGCAUACAACUGAUUACCUCUCAGAAUUUGUAAAACUGUUCUCAAAUGCUCUGCAUGCUCAGUCUCAUCAUGAGAAUAAAUCAAAAUAUCAUCAAUGAACACAACUACAAACUUAUCUAAAUACGAUCUGAAAAUUCAGUUCAUUAAGUCCAUGAAAAUGGCAGGAGCAUUAGUCAAGCCAAAUGGCAUCACAAGGAACUCAUAAUGACCAUACCUAGUCCGAAAAGCAGUCUUCAGGACAUCUGACUCUUUAACUCGCAACUGAUAGUAUCCGAAUCUCAAAUCUAUCUUGGAAAACACAGUAGCUCCCUUCAAUUGAUCAAACAAAUCAUCAAUUCUAGGCAAUGGAUACUUGUUCUUUACUGUUACCUUGUUAAGUUACCGAUAAUCUAUGCAUAAUCUCAUCGAUCCGUCUUUCUUUUUCACAAAUAGCACUGGUGCACCCCAUGGUGAACUACUGGGUCUUACCAAGCCUUUAUCUGUUAAUUCUUGCAACUGAGCUUUCAAUUCUUUCAAUUCCAACGGAGCCAUUCUAUAAGGAGCAAUAGAAAUGGGCGUGGUACCUGGAAUCAACUCAAUACCAAACUCAACUUCUCUAACAGGAGGCAAACCUGGUAGUUCUUCCGGAAACACAUCGGGAAACUCACAUACCACAGGCACUGAUUCAAUUUUCAAUUCUGGAUCCUUAGUGUUUAACACAAAAGCAAGAUAAGCUUCAUACCCUUUUCUCAAACAUUUCUGAGCAGACAUAACAGAAAUUAUGGGAAAUAAACUAUCUGACUCUUCUGAAUUAACCCGAAGAAUUUCACCAUUUUCACACUUCAACUCAAUGAAUUUCUUUCUACAAUUCACUAUCACAUCAUGUGUAGUCAAUCAAUCCAUACCAAGAAUCACAUCAUACUCAUCAAAUGGCAAUAGCAUGAGAUCAGCAGGAAAACAGUAGCCUCUAAUCAUUAAAGGACAAUUUCUACAUACUUUAUCUACUAAUACAUGCUUGCCUAAUGGAUUCGAUACUUUAAUCACAAAUUCUGUAGAUUCUAUAGGCAUACUUAUACUAGGCAUCAAUUUCAUACAAACAUAAGAAUGAGUCGAACCCGGAUCAAUCAGAGCAAUGACAUUAAUAUCAUAUAGAGAAAAUGUACCCGUAAUCACAUCGGGGGAGGAUGCCUCUUCGCGUGCACGAAUAGCAUAAGUCCUUGCAGGGGCUCUAACAUCUGGUCUCACAGCCGAAUCUCUAAAGGUACCUCUGUUACUUGCUCCUACUCCCGGUUGCCUCGGUGAUCUGCCUCUAGUAGGAGCAUUUCCGGAUCUAGCACUCUGUGUUACUUCUCGGCUAGCCACUUCUGGACAUUCUCGUACAAAAUGAUCUGGAGCACCACAUUUAUAGCAAACAUUUUCGCCUGCCCGACAAGGACCAUAAUGAAGUCUACCACACCGUGGACACCCUGAUCUACCCUGUCUGACAUUACCUACACUCGUAGUCGAGGUGGUCUGAGCCUUCGGAUCCUUAAAUCUGUUACCUCUAUUCUGACUAGAUUGCCCUGCUGAAAAGCUAGAUCUGGUAGAAAACUCCACUGACAGUCGGAUAUCAUCAUUUAACCCAUCCUCAAACCUUUUACACAUGAUAGCCUCUGUGGACACACAUUCUCGAGCAUAUUUACUAAGCCUGACAAAUUCGCGCUCAUAAUCGGUCACUGUCAUAGUACCUUGUUUCAAUUCCAAGAAUUCCUUUCUCUUCUGGUCAAUAAACCUCUGACUGAUGUACUUUUUACGAAAUUCCUCCUGAAAGAAAUCCCAAGUGACCCUCUCCUUUGGUACAACUGAUACAAGUGUCUUCCACCAGUAGUAGGCUGAGUCUCUAAGAAGUGAUACUACACAUUUCAUACAUUCCUCGGGUGUACAAGAUAAUUCGUCAAAGACUCUGAUAGUAUUUUCUAACCAAAAUUCUGCUCUUUCUGCAUCAUCAUCUUUUGUUGCUCGGAACUCUUCUGCCCUUUGUUUCCUGAUUCUAUCAACUGGUGGCUUUUCUCUUACCACUGUACCUGUGACUGGGGAAGCUUGAGCUACAUGGGUAGCCUGAGAAUCAUGAGGGGGUGGAGGUCUAACUGCCGGAUUCGUACGAACGAACUCGGCAAACAAAUCAUUCAAAGCUCGGAAGAGAGCUUCUCGAGUCACUCCUCCCUGAUCAACUAUUACUGGCCUAUUCUCAGAUGGCGCUGCCCCUUCUAUGGGAGCAGGCGCAUUACUUUCUACAUCAUCAUCACCAGCUCGUCCGGGAUCCAUUACUAUAAAACAAAAUAUUUAAAAAUCGUCAGGAGUCGUCACACUAUCAAAAUACAAGUAUGGCAUGUAUAGCUAGACUUUUUCUCACACUAACUGUUCCGAGAACCGACUAAACCUGCUCUGAUACCAAUAAUGUAACACCCCCACGCCCGAAACCGUCACCGGAGUCAAGCUUGAGGUGUUACUAAACUUAUCUUACCUUUUAAACAACUCUAAACCACUUAUUUUAAUUUUUGGAAUAAACUAUUUUUCUGCGUCAUGGUUGCUUAAAAAUUCAUUUCUCGAGUUUCAAAACUCAAAAUUAAGAUCCAUAAAUUUUUCCUGAAACUAGACUCAUAUAUAUAUCUACUAAUUUUUUUCUAGAAUUUUUGACUUGGCCAAUUAGUACAGUUUAUUAGUUAAAGUUUCCCCUGUUUCAAAACUCAACUACACUGACCUCUUCUUACUACGAGCCAUGUUUCUUCAUGUAAAAAAAUUCAUAUGGUUAAGCCGUUUGUUUCUCUCAAAACUAGAUUCAACAAGGAUUCUAACUAUAUAAAUUACACCUUCUAAUUAGUUUUGUAUAUUUUAUGGUGAAUUUCCAAAUUUGAAACAGGGGAUCCAGAAAUCACUCUGACCCUGUUUCACUAAAACUCAGAUAUCUCAUAAAAUAUAAUACCUUUACCUGUUUUGCUUAUUCCAUAAGAAAAUAUACAUAAUAAGCUUUAAUUUCAUAUAUUAUUCAUCUUCAAACUAUGUUUCUGUAAUUUUUAGUGAUUUUUGAAAGUUACGUCAUUUCUGUUACUUGAAUCUGUUUUUAGGUUACUUUCACAUUUUUCAUAAUUUUCAUGUGAUAAUCAUCAAUCAAUCAUACAUAUUAAUAAAUAUGUAUAUCAUCGGCUAUUUUAUUAGCUAAUCACUAGCAAGUAUUUACACAUUAUUCAUUGUUCAUAUUAUACCAAAAGUAGCUAAGUUUCUAUACAUGCCAUACCCAAAACAAAACGUCUAGUUAUACCGAGUUAUUUCUUUGAUAGUGUGAUCGGCCUCCGACGUUUCCUUCGAUCCCCGAGUGACUAGAUAAGUACUAUAAGAAGAAGAAAAUAAAGAGAUUAAGCACUAGGCUUAGUAAGCUUACAAGCAAAUAAAUCACAACAUUCAACAUAAUGGAUAAUUAUGCAUAAUAUCAUCUAACAUCAUAAAUUUCUCUACUUCUCAAUUUGUAUCUUCUUCUUUAUUCCCUUACCUUCUUUCUUACCUGACCUUUCCUUUUUCAUAAGUAUAAUCUACUUUUCCUUUACUGUUAAUUCACUGUAAUUUAACUCGUAUCCUGACCCAUUGAACCACUCGGAAUACUAAGGAUACUAGGGUCGUUCCUGUCUAUCAAUAUCCUGCCAAUGCCAUGUCUUUGACAUGGACUUACAUGAAUUAUUCAUGUCUCCAAUGCCAUAUAUAAUAUGGACUUACAUGGCUCAAUCCUGUCUCCAAAGCCAUAUUUCUAAUAUGGACUUACAUGGCUCAUUUCUGUUCUGUCCUGUCAACUCUAAUAUCCUAACAUUCCUAGGGUUCAACCGGGGCUUUCUAACACUUUUCCUCUGUCACUCCACCUUAAAUUCGACUUUACAUAUUUUCAUAACAUAAGUAUAUAAAUGCUGGAAAUUGACAAUAAUAAUGUAAAAUAAAAGAAUAUUGCAUUUAUUUACUGUAACUUACCUUGAUACAAAAUGUGACUAAACUUUACAAUUUAGUCCUUUACUUUUUCUUUUCCCCGAUCUACUCCCGAAUUUCGUUCUUCUUGAUCUAUAAUAGCAAAUUUAACUUAUUUAAUAUUCACAUUUAUUAAAACAGUCCUUGACCCAAACUUUUGCAAAAUUAUAUUUUUACCCCUAAACUUUCACAUAUUUGCACUUUUGCCCCAAGGCUCGUAAAUUAAACUUCAUCCUAUUUUCUUAUGUUUUAUGACAUGCUGAUCAUUUUUCCCUUCUAUGGCAAUAUCAAAAUCACACUCUAACAUAUACUUAUGACUAUUGGUAUUUUUUUCCAAUUUAAGCCCUUUUACUCGUUUUCACUUAAAACCGAGUAGCAUAAGUUGUUUAACAUAAUUUAAAACCUCAUAUUCUAUCAUAAGACACCAAAAUACACAAAUUUCAGCCAUGGGUAUUUUUCCAAAUAUGAACCCUAGGCUGAAUUAUUGCUAGAAUAAGCUUAAUCAAGUUACCGGGACUCCAAAAACGUAAAGAUCAUUAAAAACGGGGCUUGGAAUCACUUACUAUGAAGCUUGAAAGUUGAAGAAACCCCAGCUAUGGAGGAGAGCAAAAAUCGGCAGAAACUAAUUGAGAAGAUGACCAUUUUUGUGUUAUUUUUCCCUAUUUAAUUCAUUUAAUAUCCAAAUGACCAAAUUACCCCUCCUUACUAAACUUUCAAAAAUUCCUUCCAUGUCCUAAUUUUUGUCCAUGAACUUAAAAUUGGUCAAAUUGUUAUUUAAACCCUCCUAAUUAAUAUUCCAAAGUAAUUUCAUACUAAAAACUUCUAGAAUGCAAGUUUUGCAAAUUAUUCAAUUUAGUCCCUAACCUCAACUUAAGCAGUUUAUGCAUGGAAUUUCAUCACGAAAUUUUCACACAAUCAUGCAAUCAUACCAUGAACCUUAAAAUAAUAGUAAAAUAAUUUUUUCUACCUCGGAUUUUUGGUUUCGCAACCACUAUUCCGUUUAGGCCCUAUUUUGGGAUGUUACAGAAAUAACCCAAAAUAAGGUUGUCUUAAUAAUGCAAUAAAAAACUGAAAACCUUAAUUUUUUUUGACUAUUUCUUUUUUUGUUCCAAAACCAUAUAUAUCGAAACCAAAUAGAAAUAAUGUAGUGGUUCAAAGCUAAAUAAUUAACAAGCACAUGUAUUCAUAAUUUUGGCAUGGAUAAAAACACCAAAGCAAUUCACACAUAUACAUGUAUUCAUAAUCAAAUAGAAAAACUUACCUGAAUUUACCAUGUAAAUCUAAAGUUGUAUUUAUGAUUAAACAGAUAUUCACAUAAAUACUUGAAAAAUAUUUUCAAGCCAAUAAAUCUCAAAAACAAAAUCAUAAUAGUUGGCAUAUCCCACAAUUCAUACAAUAAACCAUAUCAUCAUAAUCUAACCAAAUAUUUGGAACCAUAAGAUGCCAAAACCUAAAAUUAUAGAACCAAACUUAAAACCAAAUUAUUUAAAUAUGAAUAUAGUUGACAUGAAUUUGCACCAAAGCACCCGUAGAAUUGAAUAUAUAACCAUAGCAAUAAUAAUAAUAAUAAUAAUAAUAAUAAUAAUAAUAACAAUUUCAACAAUAUCCAUCAUAACUUAAUUUCACCAAUUAAACUAUAAAAGAUAUCUUACUGAAUAAUGGUUAUAAACACCUAUUCAUGCCAACUAUAAUCAUGCAUUAAUCCUCCAAAUCAUUUAUAUGCAUAUAAUAUAUAUACACACAAUAUAUACACACAAUUAUAUCAUUUAUAUAAUAAAAAAAUAAUACUGGUUUGUCUUACAUAUUUCAUGUAAACUAAAAUUUAUAUUAAUGACUAAAGACAUUAACAUAAAACUCAUUUAUACGCACAAAUACUUAAAAAAAACCAUAACCACCAAAUAUAAAAGAAUCCCAAAUUGUAUAAAAGCCUUCAUAUGCACAACCACUUUUGAAAAUUCAUAGCCACCAUAUUAAAAAAAAUCUCAAACAUUUUAAUUUUAGUCGAGUUCUAUAAGGACUAAAACUUAUAUAAAAUAAUUAUAGCAGGAACCAAAAGUAAUCAUUUGUAUAUAUGAAUUGAAUUCAAAGGUGAAUAUAAUUCAUCAUGAAUUAAGACAAAAGAUGAUAUUUUCAUAUACAUUCAACCACAAAUAAAAAAUUUAAAACAAAUAGUGUGAAAAAAAAACAUCUUAACAACUUUCAUUUAUUCAUUAUUAAGCAUAAUCAUGAGCAAAAGCAUAAUAUACAAAUAGCAAACUAGAUUUUAACCUCAGGCAGCUUGUAUUUUGCGUUGUUUUAUAUGCGCAUACAUGCUAAAACAAGCAAAAUAAUUGACAUACACUACAGCAAAAUUGACUUUUAGCGGCGUUUUUUUAGGCUUUUAGCGGCGCUUUUAAGCGCCACUAAAACUACUCGCGGCGUUUUUACAAGCGCCGCAAAAAACGCCUUUAUAGAUGGCACCACUAAAUUUUGCGGCAUUUAUUUGAAAAAAACGCCGCUAAAGGUCAGGACCUUUAGCGGCGCUUUUCCCACAAACGCCGCUAAAGGUCAUAAAAAUUAAAAAAAUAUAUAUUAUAAAAUAUUGUAAAAGUCCUGAAAAAUAUAAAAAAAUUAAAAUUCAUUAUCAAAAUAUUGAGAAGAAGAAUAAUCUAUGAUAUAAAUACAUCCCGCCAAACAAAAUACCGCACUUAUACACCAGAAAUCUAACAAAAUACAAAUAGAACAAAAUAAGGAUGAAUGAAAGACAUUAAUGAUAUAUAAAAUCAUUGUUUCUAAUGCAUAUGUAGAAAUCAAGCCAUGGUGUGCACCAAGGAUCCGGCUCUCGUAAUAGCACCAGGCCUUGAUCAAAAUAUUACUGCGUUUGAAAAUAUGAUCUUUUCCAAUUAGCUGGUCAACCUGAAAAACAAACAGUUCAAAAGAAGUCAUGUGUCAAUUAAACUUGCCACCCUUGAUAUUGCUAUAGGAAUUAAUGCAUGGAGAGUGAUGGAGAUGGGAUUGGGGAUUCCUCAAGGCUGCAGCAGUAAACUUAAGCAACAGUGUGGGAAAAGGUGAAAUGAGAGAUUUUAGACUAAAUCCAAAGCAUUAAUUUCUAUUAAAUGAAAACAAACAAACAAAUAUAAUUGUUAAAGAAACAUUAAUUUCUCUUAAAUCCGGUAAAAUCUUAAAGGAUUUAGAAAUGAAUGAAAUAUAAGGGGGAAAAGAAAGAGGAAAAGCUAAAAUUCACUCUGUCGGUUAGUAGUGAUAUGGAAGACAAAAAGGAUAAAACACCACAUACCAAACGAAGAUCAUAAAACUACUAAGAAUUUAAUGCCAGAAAAUGAAACAAUGUACCAUUUAGAAUUAUACUUUUGAAUCAUCUUUUGCAUCAAGUGAUUUAUAUGAAUUAUGAUUACCACAUCCACAAUGUUUGGAAUGGAAACGGAUUCUAAACAUAUAAAUGCUGGAUAGGAUUAGAUGAUACCUUCUCCAGAAAGCAAAGUGCAGAUAGACCAGCCGUUUGAUUGAAAGAGAUGUCCACCGGUAUGUCAUUCACAGUGCAUUUCACUAUUUUAACCUGAAAUCAAAUUCCAAAAUAACCGAAAUGAGCUCAAGAUGAUUUUAAGCUAUAUUUGCUGCUUACGUACAUAUACUAAUAUGCAAUAAAUACCAUUUAACUGCACGGGAACAACGACAAAGAUGCAGCUGAAAAUUUAAUAUCAGCAUAAUAGCACAAAUAGAAGUUGUUGCCAAGUGUCCAACAGCAUAUGACUUAUGUGGUUUUAUUCAAUAUCAGUUAAGCACCUAGUCGUUUGCUACCCUAAUUUCCGUUAUCUACAUUACAGGAACGUCUUUUAAAUUUUUACACGUGACAGAAAGUUAUAAAGGGUGCUACCUUAAUCGAUUAGCAUUGGGAUGCAGUUUCGAUGCUAUGUCCAAUAAAAGCGAAGUUAAGGAAAGAAAUAAAUCAGAUGAAAAACACAAUCCUUUAAUUAAAUAAUAUUUAAAUAAUUAUUAUAUUUAUAAUAAUAUUUAAAUAAAUUAAUCCAAAUUAUAUAAUUUAAAAAAUUGUGUAUAAAAAGUUGAAAACCAUAUAAAAUGAAAUGUUAAUUUUGUUCCAUGAAAAAAUAAAAAUAAAAAUAAUACACGUAAUGCAUAUAUUCAAAAAUGAAAUACAUGAGAAAAACUUCAAAACAAAAAUUAAUGACAAAAAAAAUCAUAAUAUUUAGUCAUGUAUAAUACACAGAAGUUUAUUACUGAAAAAUGAAAAAGCAUAAUACACAGAAGUUCUCACUUCAUAUAUCAUCAAACUAUAGAUGGUUAAGAAUGUCAGUGUCAAAUCAAGAAGGAAAAACUAAUAUAUUAAGAACUAAAACUCUACAAAAUUAAGCUUAGUUAAAAGUAGACAUGGUUGAUAGCAGAAGAUGAUGUAACAUAAGUCACAAACUAUACACUGUUUCUUAACUUUGUCAUAAAUAUUAGCACAAAAGAAAAAAGGGAAAUGCAGUUAAACAACUUGCUAUUUACAUUCAAAUUUAAAGACCCAUACGAUAGAGUCUAAAAUAGCAAGCAUACCCAACUCUCCUUUCCUGAAAGGUUCUAAACAAUUCAUUUUCUUCUACUUCGAACCCCACACCUUUGUCCAAAACAGGGACUGGAAUAACAUUUAGCCCAUACACAAGAAUUGAUCUAAAUUCAUGCUAAUAACAUCAUCAAGAGAUCAAGGGUGCCAAUUUCAAAGUGAAUAAAAGUUCCAACAUACCACUGCCAGUUGUUCUGCCAUGAAAUGGUUCACUUCCUCAAAGCUAAAGUUUCUUGUCUCAUACUCUCUUCCUGCCAAUAUUAUCAAGACUGAUCAAACGAACAAAUCCAACAUUUAAAUUUAUUUCAUUGGUAUUAUCAGAAGAAAGGCAUUGUGUACCAAUGAGUUUGAUAACAACAUUAGCCUUUGCUAUCACAGCCUUGAUUGAAUUUUCAUCCCUUGGAUCGUAUUUCAUUGGCACUAUCUAAUAAAGAGAAAUAUCAAAUUAAAACCAAAUAAAACACAAUAAGCACUUCAAUAUGAAUUCAAAGAAAGAAGGGGAAAAACGCAAUUCCAUAAGGUAUGCAACCUGUCCUAAAUCUCCCAUCAACUUGAGAUGACGAGGGUUAUCCUCGGAACCUCUGAAGGGAACUAACACCUGAGAUCCCAUUUUAGCUAAAAUAAAAAGAAAAAAAAUCAGUAUACACAAAUAAACCUUAAAACAACAACAACAAUAGCAGCAAGCUCUCUGUAAUGUACACAUUAAGGCAAAACAAUGUACAAUUAUAACUACAAGAUUAAGUUUAAAUUACCCAGUUAUUGUACAAGAUAACAACCAAGGAAUCCAGUAGCGUCGAAAACAGUAGCUAUAAUGCCACUGCAGGGGAAGGGAAAAUCAUUUGACAUUCAAAGAGAAAACUUUUAAAGAUAAAAGUUCAAAUCCCAAAAAAAGGACCUGACGGAAGAUCGGCCAUCGGUGCCCUUGCGAACGAGGUGCCCAUGCCCUUGUGGGAAGCCAGUGUAGAUCCGUAUCGCUGAUGAUCACCUCCAUAGUCUGAAAAGGAAAAUCGAUAGUAAAUGAUUUAUAACACUUCGAUAAAAGGUAAAAGAAAAAAAACCCAUCAAUUUGUUGCAAAUGUUAAACACCAUUAGAAAGAAGAAGAAAAGAUAAAUUGGAGAAAAUAAAAAGAGGGAAUGGAAAUGUUACAGUGAUCGGAGAGAGGGUAAAUAGACUUGAUAGAAGAGAUUGAAGCAGUUGGCCUCAGAGAUUGGAAUAGUUAAAACAAUUGAAGACUCAGGGAUGGAAUUAGGACUCGGCGGAAACGAUGGCAGUGGCAGUGGCAGUGGCGUUUACCGUCUGGACGCUUGCACUUAUGCUUCUCGAAAUCAAAGACUGAAUAAGGAUUAAGAAAAGUUCUGCAGAGAAAAAUCUAGGGUUCCAAAUUUGGGCGUUUAAGAAUCGAGGUUGAGGUAGAAAAAAUGGCAAUGGGCAUGGAGUUAAAAGUUCUGAAUGAGCAAAAGAGUAGUUAAAUUUUAUUUGGGGGAUUUAGGAUGAGAAGAAGAGGGAGUAACGAGCGGGUAAGCAAAAGUCCUUUUUUGAGUGAGCGGGAUUUUGAUUUUUUUGGGUAAAAAAAUGGCUUUUUGUGGUGUUCUUAAAAAAAAAGCCACUACGCCACUAUAGCUUAUUUUUUAUGCCAUUAUUGCUUAAUUUUAAUUUUUUUUCAUAUUUAACAUAUUUUUUCUAUUUUUUUUCAAAAUUUUUGUGUUGAGAUUAUCAUUUUUUGGAAUUUUUUUAAUUUUGAAUAUUGAAUUUUUUAACUGAAAUAUGGAAUAAAAUAUUAAAUUUUAAAAUUUUAAGUUCCUUAUUUUUUAAUUUUUAAUUUUUUAUUUUAAAUUUUAAAUUUUAAAUUUUUUUGAAUAUUUUUAUAAUUUUUAAACUAUCAUAUAAAAUACAAAAGAAAACUUUAACAGAAAUAAAAUGAAAUCGAUGAAUUAAAAAAAUAUAAAAUGACACAGCAAUACAAACAUUAUUCUUUUAAGUAUGGUCCACAUUAGUUGUUUAGAUUUUUAUAUAAAUGACAUUUAAUUUUGAUAGAGAUACAUCUCAGAAUUAUAUAUGAAUUUCGAUUUAAUGUGUAAUUGUAGACGUGAAAUUCUAAUUGUGGUUUAAAUGUAUAGUCGAAACUUUAAUUUUGAUUUAAUCAUACACAUUUUAAAAAAUAAAUACAUCAAAAUAUUUUUAUAUUGAAUAUAUAUAAAAAUUUAUGUAUGCAAUAUAUAAAUAUAAAAUGAUAUUAUAUUAAUAAUUGUGUUAAUAAUUCACAAGAACUGGAUCAAAUUAAAGUUCAUGUAUACAACUGCACACUAAAUCCUAAACCCUAAACCCUAAAUCAUAAACUUUAAAAUAGUAACUCAUAAACAUUAAACCCUUAACCAUAUACCCUAAACUAUAAUGAUAAUUAAUUUAAUAUUUUAAAAUUAAUAUUAUCUCUUUUACAAUUAUAUAAGAAAAUAUUUAUCAUAUAAAUUAAAAAACACUAAUUAAUCUAAUCUCUAAUCUCUAAACCCUAAACCCUAAAACAUAAACAAUUAACCUUGAACCCCUAACCCUUAACCCCCGACCCCUAAGCCUUAAACCCCUAAAGCUCAAACCCCAACCCUUAAACCAUAAACCAUAAACCAUAAUCCCUAAACCCAUAAUCCAUAAACUUUAAAAUAGUAACUCAUAAACCUUAAACCCUUAACCAUAUACCCUAAAUCAUAAACCCUAAACUAUAAUGAUAAUUAAUUCAAUAUUUUAAAAUUAAUACUAUCUCUUUUACAAUUAUAUAAGAAAAUAUUAACAUAUAAAUUAAAAAACAAUCAGUCAUAUACCAAAAAUCUUUAAAAUUAUUUUAAAUAAUAGUAUUUUAAUUUUUUUCAUUUUUAACAAAUACUUUUACUUUCAAAUUUUUUUUACGUGUCAUUAUUUUUUUCUGAAAAAUUUAAAUAUUCAAUUAAAAAUAAAUUGUAUUAAAAUGAACCACUUAAAUUAAAUAGAUAGAUGAAAUGUUUUUUGCGGCGUUUUUCAAAAAGCGCCGCUAAUACUCGAUAUAUAAAACAACGGUGUUUUGCAAAACUUUUUGCGGCGCAGUUGGCAUAAUUUUUUGCGGCGUUUUUUUAAAAAGCGUUGCUAAAGGUUACCUAUAGCAGCGUUUUUUAAAAAGCGCUGCUAAUGCUUAUCUUUAGAGGCGUUUUUCAAAAGCGCCGCUAAAGCCGCGGCAGUUUAGCAUAAUUUUUUGCGGCGUUUUUUUAAAAAGUGCCGCUAAAGGUGACCUAUAGCGGCGUUUUUUAAAAUGCGCCGUUAAUGCUUGAUCUUUAGCGGCAUUUUUCAAAAAGCGCUGCUAAAAACCUAUUUUGGUGAAGUGAUAAUGCCAUAAAAAUUAAUCUAAAAUGAAUUAUUAGAUUUGCAGAAUUAAUCUAAAAAUUAUGAAUCUAGAUUUACAUAUAAUAAAUCAAGAUUAUCAAGAAUGUUAUAUUAUGCAAUUGCAAUUAAAACAUUCUAAACAAGAAAAUCUUAAAAGAUCAAAACCAUAUUUAAUCCAAGAUUCAUUGUUGAAUGGAAAUCAAAUAAAAAAUAACCCUAAGAAGAUUGAAUCAUAACUAUCCAAAACCUAAAAAAUAUUUACAAGAAUUUCAAAGAUUCAACAUAGAAAUAUCAAAUCUAUAAGAUCUAAAAAACGAAUCAAUCCAAAAUAAUAGAGAAUUAAUUCAUUCCAAAAAGAAUAGAAACUUAAUCAAUUUCCAAUGAUUCAACAUGACGAGGCUCGGAUGCCACUUGUUGGAUUUGUAAAAUAAAUCUGAAAUAAAACUUAAUAAACCAGGAUCUAUCAUGUCAAAUCAUCAAGAAUAAAUCAAGAAAAAAACUAGAUGCGGAAGCGUACCUGAAUCCAUAAAUUCCUUGAAGUUUUACUGGAUCUUGGGGAUUUGAUCUUCCAAAUUAGAACAUAAGAAAUUCAGAGAAUAGCUGCUCUCUUUUUCCUAAUGAUGGGAUAUUAGAAAAGAUAUCUUGUGUAUAAUUUGGGGACCAUAACCCUAAUAUUUAUAACCUUAGCAUAUUAGUUCUAAUCAAAUUCUAAUUAGCCCAUCAUUAAUCAUAAUUUGAUUAGAAUUCAAGUACUAGAGUAUCUACACAUAUUUGACCCAUCCUUUAUUUAAUAAUUGAAACCCAAUAAAAUUUUAACCAAAUUAGAUCACUCUUAAUUUGGGCUAACAUAUCAUGAUAAUAAAUAAUAACAUGUAAUUACCCUUAUUAUAUAUGUGAUGUCCAUAUUUUCCAACAAAAUAUUUUUGUAAUUUUUCGAACCGAGUUGAUGUCUGGUUAACUCGUAGCACCAACUCAACCAAGGGUUUAAAUAAUAGUAUAGGUCAUUACAUUUUAAUUAAUUUUUAGAAUAAGUAUGUUUUGGAAUUAUUUCUAAAAAUAUGUUUUUUUGAUGCACCUCAAUAGUCAAAACUAAUAACUAAUUUCCCUAAACUUUAGACCCCUAAUUUCAACAAAGUGUAUAAUUGUUGAAAUGUCCAUUUGUUGGUCUAAGCGGCAAAUGCAAAGCACCAAGAUCAUUUUUUAUGCACUAAAUCAUCCACAGUGUUAUUAUAUUGGUUUACCUCAAAUAAAACAUUUUUUACUGAUCCCCAUUGUUUCUACUACAAUAGAAAAUCUUACACAUGGCCCUUAACCUAACAUUAGACAACUCGAUGGUUUUCGUUAAUCAUCGUGCUUAAACAAACUCAUAAAAAGUUUACAUGUAUAAUUGAGAAACCUUAACCCAUCUUCUUAAACUAUAAAUCCCCAGAGUCGUGGGUUGAGUAAGCUAGAAACCAUGGGGGAUUUUUUUUGAACUUGGCAUCUUUUUCAAAUAACAGAAAAACCCUAACUUAUUUUCCUAAACCUUAACCCCAAAAGUUUAAUCCCCUAACAAAACCUUAGACACUAAAUAAAACAUUUAAUAAAAUCCCAUCAAAUUCUUUCUUCUAAGGGUUUUUAUGCAUCUCUAACUUCAAUAAAAAGUAACCUCAACUCUCAUAUUCAAAUGCCUUUUGUGAUAAUGGAUUUCCUCAAGUGUUGGAGUGCCAAUUGAGUAUGAAAGCUUCUUUUAAACUAACUUUAAAUAGGCUAUAGGGUUUAUGAUAAACCUUGUUUAUGAUUAGUAUGAAAGAUUUCACUAUAUCAAAACAAUGUUUCAACACUUGUGGGAAACCAUGAUCUAAAUCAAGAGAGUUCAAGUUUUCCUUGAUUGAAGUUAGAUUUUGGUCGAAAUCAUUUAUCUAAAAGUGAUAGUAGCCAGAAUAAGUUGGAGGAAAAUAAUUUUAAAAGACUUUAUCAAAAUUUUAAUUUAAGGUUUAAGGUUUGAGGGAAAAUGGUAAAUAUUUAAGGGUUAAAAGAUUUUGGUUUGGGGCUAGAAGGAAAAGGUUAAGGUUCAACUCCUGUUCAUUAGGUAAACUGACUACAAUCUUGACACCCAUGGGUUGUUCAGCUUUAGUCAUAAUAAAAUGCAAACAAAUACAUAACAAACAAUUGUUCAUCUUUCAAAAUCAAAGCUAACCACUAUUUGAAGAUGUUGGGUCUAGUACCCUAAAUCUAGUAUAUUCAUUUUGUAUAGUUGUAUUUUUUGAGAAAAUUGGUUUAAUAAAAAUAUCAAUUGAUUACAUUAAUAGCCUUUGUCUAUUAUCCUCAAUGAUUUUGUAUGCAAAGUAAAAUGGAAAUAAAAAUUGGCUCACUAGUUAUCUAACAUUUAACUAAUACUAAAUCGUAUUACGUGGUAAGAUAGUAAUACAGAAAGACAACUUGUAUUAGUAGAAAAACCUAAAUAAGUCCUUAGUCUAAUUGUAAAUGAGCAAACCGGUUUAAAGACUUAAGUCGUCUAGUAAGUCCAAUUAGGGAGAUGCUUUGUCUUGAGCAUCAGAAUGAAGGACUCCUAGAAGAUAGAGACAUAGAUGUCACUGAAUAGACUGACAAUAUAUUGGACAGGACCUAAGUAGGAUAGAUCCUAGAUUAAUUUAUGAAUUUAUUCACUUGAGACAUUCAUAGUGUGGCAUACCUUAAUCUUGAUUAGAUGAUGGACUAUGCAUGUGUGAAUCGUAUACUUUGAUGGAAGUAAAAGCUUGAAUUCAAAUAAAUAAGGAACCGAAAAUUGGUAUAUUGCGUAUACGGCUUCUACAACAUAUAGCAUCAUUCACAAUAGUGGAAUUCAUAGCCCAAAUAAUAGGUAAAUGAUAUCCUCUCAUUGGUAUUACAUGAUAUAUGAAAAGGAAACGUGGCCACGAGUCAUUUGUCUUUGUGAUAAAUGACUUGAUUACUAUUUAAUAGUACUAGGGUGUAAUACCCCUAACCCCUAUCUGUCGCUGAAACAGGGUCACAGAGUAUUACCAGAGUUUACAGAUCAAUUACAAAAAAUUUCAUAUCAUUUACUAUUAAUAUCUGAAAUUUAUCAUAUCAUCUCUUAAAUGGGUCCUCGAGGCCCAAAAUACACGUUAGAAUCAAAUCAAGACUAAAUUGGAAACUCAAAAAAAUUUUCGUGAAAUUUUAAAAUUUAUCUUACGUACAAGGGACACAGCCUGUGUGGUCAGGCCAUGUGGCUCACAUGGCCAGGUGACACGCCUAUUUCUUAGGCCGUGUGGGUAUUCAAUGUGAAACACACGACUGUGUCCCAGCCCGUGUUCAAAUUAGGGUAGCUACUGAUGAUGAUGAUUUACUUAACUAACUAAAUUACGACAAAGGCAAGCGCACCUAUCGAGUAGUAGUACAGCUAUGGUGAGUCGGGGAUAUCAUAUCCACAAGGACUAAAAUUACUAGUAAUUACCUUUUUUCUAUUAUUUAGCCUAUAAAUUGAAGAAGUUUGUUUUAAAUCUAAAAUUAUCUAAACUAAUUAUUAAGAACUCGACAGAGAAUAAAGUAUGAAAAUAAUCCAAUUGACCAAUGAGAGAGACAAUACCCAGGAAAGAAUCCACUUAGACUUCACUUAUUAUUCUGAAUCUGAAUUAAACGAUUUAUUCACUUGCCUUGAUCCGUAAAAAUCCCUAAAUUAUAUUAAUAUUUAUUUCGAGAGUAAAAAUAACUGCCUUUAGGUUGAUUAAUUGAAAUCUCUUUCUAAUUAAAACCUCUAUUGUCGCAUUAACUCGAUCUAUGGAUUCCCCUAUUAGAUUUGACUCUAAUCCGGUAGAUUUAUGUCAUCCUAUUUCUAGGAUUGCAUGCAACUCCACUCAAUUAUGUCAGAUCUACUCUUAAACAGGGACUUUUGCUCCACUGAAUUAAGCACAUCAAUCAUGAAUUAAUAUCCUGAAAACAUUAAAACAUGGAAUAAGUACACAUAAUUGAGAUCAAGAAAUCAAUUAUUUAUCAUGUAAUUCAAAAAAUUAAAUAACAAGAUCCGUCAUAGGUUUCAUCUUCCCUAGGUAUUUAGGGAAUUUAGUUCAUACUUUGGGAGGAAAACAUUUCAAAUUUAGAAAAACUACAAAACAUAAAGAAACCCAAAAACUUCUUGAGAAGUUGACUGGGGAUCUUCAAUCUUGAAGGAGAUCUUGCUUCUGAGUUGAUUCCAAGGGUGUUCUUCGAGUAAUUUCUUCGUUCUUCUCUGUGUUCCCCCUUUAGGUCCUCUUUUAGUGUGUAAAUAGACUUUAAAAUGCUCAAAAUCCUUAAAAAUUGGCUUUUUCUUCGUGUUUGGGAAACAAGGAGUGAUAUUGACACAGGCUGGAACAUGGGCAUGUGGUCAGCCCGUGUGAUGUGCUUAGUCUGUGUGGGAAUGACCAGGCCGUGUAGAUCCUGAAAGUAGCUCGUUUUGUCUGAUUUUGUCCUAUUUUCUGCUCCUUUUGCCCCCCUAUGCUCUUCUAAGUAUAAAAACAUGAAAUUAAAGGAUUAAGAGCAUCAAAUUCACUAAAUUAUAUAAUAAAUCAUCCAAAAACAUGCCAAGCAUGGGAUUAGAACAUGUUACUUUUAUGGUUUAUCAACUAACUUGGAUCACACGGCCAGCCACACGCCUGUGUUCUAGGCCGUGUGGACAAUUUAAUUUUCAAAAAUAGGUGCAAGAUUCACACGGCCAAGACACAUGCCCAUGUGUUGGCCUUGUGUUUUACACGGUUGAGACACACGCUCGUGUCUCUGUCCGUGUGAUCAAUUCUGAGCAUUUUGUUUCUAAAAUUGUAAGAUGUAGGGGACACACUAUCAAACCACAUGCACAUACAUAUUGUAACGCCCCAAUUUUCUGGAAUUCUGUGAAUGUUGGCAUAGGUUUAAUUAUGUUUUUGGGCCUCUAGAAGGCCCAAGCUUAGGAUAGAACCCGGUAAUUUUAGUUAAUUUUUGUUCCAUAAGAAAAAGGGAGUGAAAUUAUGAAAUAGGACCUAUGUGAAAAUGUUUGAAAAUGCUAUAGGCUAAUUUGUAGUGGCCAAAUAAAUACGAGUGCAAAAUAGGAGGAUUUGCAUGUCAAACCUCCCAUUUUACAUGUAGUGGCUGGUCAUCAUGUUGUUGUAGACAAAAUGUGCACUUGAUAUCCAUAAUUUAUGGUACAAAUUGAUACAAAUUGAUAAUGGGUUAGGUAAAUGUUUCAUGAUAAUGGGUUAGGUAAAUGUUUCAUGAUAAUGGGUUAGGUAAAUGUUCCAUGAUAAUGGGUUAGGUAAAUGUUCCAUGAUGGGAAUUUCAUGUCUUUUGUGUUAAAGAAUUAAAUGGAUGAAAUAUGAAAUUUUAUUAAAAGAAAAAGGGGUGAAAAGAACAAAGUUUUGGUCCAUCUUUGUUCAUCAUAGCCGAAAGUUAGAGAAGAGAAAGGAGAGGAGAAAGUUCUUGAAUGUUCGGUCACUUGGGGAAGAAAAUUGAAGGUAAGUUCAUGGUAGUUUGCUUCUAUUUUGAGGUUCAUGAGUUCUUCUUGAUUCUACCUUAACUCUUGAAGCAUAUUUUGGUUUUUAGUUGUGUUGUGAGCAUUUAGUCAUGAAUUAAAAUGAAGGAAAUGGUUGUUGUUUCAUGUUCUUUUGAUGAAAAAUGAAAGAUAGGUGAAGUUGAGCCAAACAAAUGAGCAUGCAUGUGCCUUAGAUGCUAAAGGGAAAAAUCGGCUAACAUGUUGUGCUUUAAAAUGAUGAAAUGGAGAUUAUACUUAAGUAAAAUCAUAGAUAUGUGAUGAUUGAUUGGUGAUAUACAUGUUUAAAGAACAUGCAUGCAAGGUAUGUGUGAAAGAGUGAUUUGGUAAUAAAUCUGCUUGGGACAGCAACAGUAACGUGACUUUGGAAAAUCACCAUAAAUUGUGGGAGAUGAAUUAGAAGCUGAAUAAAUUAUGUAAUUAAAGCUUAUUGAGUCUAGUUUCUAAUGAAAUAAACAAGAACAUAUUUUGAAUUAUGUACAAUGAGAAAUUUGAUUCGUAAUGAAGAGUGGUCAGAUUAGUUAAACAGUGAAACAUGGGAAACUUUGAGAAAAAUCUGGUAUUGAUUGGCUAAACCAAAAAUUCUAAAAAUUUUAUGGAUAGAAGAUAUAUGAGUCGAUUUUCAGGGAAAAUUAACGGCACUUGAUUUGGAUUUUCGUAGCUCCAGUUAUAAAUGAUUUAGUGACUGUUGCUCAGGGAGGCAGCUUGCAGUGAAAUUAUGAUUAUGUGGUAAACACUGACAAAAAUUUGUUAAUGAGUUGCUUAUUGAUUUCUUAUAAGCUUACUCUGAUCUGUAGGUGUGGUUGGCCGAAUAUUGUAAGGGGUUAAUAUGUAGUUCGUAUUUGAAUAGUUAGAUUAACGUGUUAGUAAUCCAAUUGUAGGCGGUUCGUGUGUGGAUCUCGUCAGCAUAUCGUCGCAAACAGGUGUGUAACUAACACCCUCUUAUAGACUAGAUCGGCACAAGCCGAAAAGCCGAAAUGCCGAAAAGCCAGUAUUUUGAGAUCUUGCGAGUGUGUGAAUGCUCAUGAGAUUAAUAGUUUGAUGUAUAUGGUAAAUUAAAGUGAUAAGACUGCAGAGUGCGCGAUUCUGUGCAUUUCGAUAUUUUUGGGCUUAAUGGGCCAAAAACGGGAUAAUGGGCCAACGAGCCCAAAUUGGUAAGAAAAUGCGGUAAAUGUUUCUGAUUGUAUGUAAAUGGCUAUGUUAUGUAUGAAAACCUCAAGAAUAGUUAAAUUACUUGAAUACCCCUAUGUAUGCAAAAUUACCAUUAUACCCCUAGGGUUACUUUUGACUGAAAAGCAUGACGAUCUGAUUUUGUAUGAUGUAUGCCAUGAUUAUAUAUCUGUUGCAUGGGGACUUGGGUUAUACUAUGGAGGAAGUGUCCUGGUGGCUAUGCCACAAUUAUCUGAUCUGGUGGCUCUGCCGCAUAUAUCUGUCCUGGUGGUUAUGCCACAAUUAUCUGAUCUGGUGGCUCUGCCACAUAUAUCUGUUCUGGUGGCUCUGCCACAAUAUCUGUAUCUGGUGACUUCGUCACAAUAUCUGGCAGCCUCGCUGCGAUUUCUGUGGUGUGUAGCGGUUGGGUGGGUCGAGUAGUCUCCCCACAUGGUGUAAGGCUGGUACCGGGGUGUUAUGGAUGAAUCUGGGUUGGGUUUCUGCAUAAACAUGUAAUAUCUGUUCUGUUCUGUUAUGGGCCUAUGGGCUUUAUUUUGAAUUCUGUUCUGGGCUAAGGCCAACUUAUUCUGUUUCUGUGGUUUGAGCUGAUAUAGGCUAUGGUUGGGUUAAUUUACACACUGAGUUUCCCCAAACUCAUCCCUUUUAUUUUCAUCCACGCAGGUAAUCCCCAACCAUAGUGGGCUUGGAGCUGUGAGGGAAUUCGGAGUGGCCACCCAUUCUGAAAGUUUGAUUUUUUUCUGGUGAACUGGAUAUCCUUUUAUUUUCGUUUGAGGUUUUGGGUUUUUAAAUGUAAUAAGGCCGCUUAAUUAUUUUUGAUGGUUUUAAUAUGUGUUACUAAGAUAAGUAUUACUUAUUUUAAUUGUUGAAAUUGGAAAGCUUUAGGGCGCGUUUUCAAAUACAACAAUUGAUUUCAAAAUACCAUGACAACAAGCAAAGCUUCCACAAUGAAAGUAUUUUCCAAAAUUAAUCACUUUUCCUAAAAAAGACUUAAUCAAAUCAGUUACCUAGAAAUAGACAUGACGUUAAGUUGUGGCAAUGGUGGCAUGCAUGUCUAGGAUUGGAUCCGAAGGGAGCUUGGUACUUAAACAGUCUGAUGGACUCACCUCCUCUUUUCCGGUUUCCUACCUGGUGCACAGCUUCCAUUCACUUUAACCUAUAAUGAAAUUAUCUUUUAAAACACUAAGUAAGUUUUUCUGGAUCAACAAUAUAAAAUGUUUUGAACGCUUCGAUGUGGCAUGUCGGAUCCAGCCAUAACGUCUGGUUGGGUUUUGGGGUGUUACACAUAUGGCCGCGAGUCACACACGGUUGAGAUACACGCCCAUGUGCCUACCCAUGUGGACAAAAUAAGGCCAUUUCCAAGCCUUAUUUCUCACCUAAAUUUUGCCUUGUACGUACAUUAAUACUUGCAUACAUAUACCAACCAAUUCAAGAUGUUAAAACCAAGCCAACAUUAACAUUAUAUUUGAUAAAUCAUCACAUGUAUUCAAACUUAAAUUUUGAAAGACAUAUAUGUUUACCAUAAUUCAAUCAAAUCAUACCAAGCACACAUAUUUUAACCAUAUUAUAACCUCAAGUAUAUAUUCACUAAAUAUAUCAUUAUUAGCCAUUCCAAUGGCUAGAUUACAAACAACCAUUUACAUGAAAACAUUUAUCAAGUUAGCCUAUACAUGCCAUUGUACCAAAAUAAGUUUGCUAUUUAUACCAAACGUGCUGAAGGAUAGUGUGAUGAUGUUUCGAUCGAUUCCAACCUUUACGAGCUUUCGAGUACUAUAAAAUAGAGAAAAGAAAAAAAUGUAAGCAUUUAAUGCUUAGUAAGUUCGCAUAACAAGAAUUUAACUCACCAUACAUUUACAUUUAAGGUAAGCAUAUAAGAUGCUUCCAAGCAAUUUGGCUAAUUGUAAUAGCCCGAUUUUGGGCCUCGAAACAGUGGUUCCGAAACCACUAUUUCAGGGUCGAAGAAAUUAUUUUAAAUAUUAUUUUAUGUGUUAUAGCAUGAUUAUAUGAGUGCAUAAACAUUUUGGUGAAUUAAUUUUAGCGAUUGUGAGCUUAAUUUUGAAAAAUGACUAAAUCGCAUAAAGGGAAAAAUUUGUGAUUUUCUAGCUAAAUAUGUUAAAUUGCUAGAGAACCAUAAUUGGGGGUUUUUAAAGUGCAAAUAGACCCCUUUCACAAGCUUGGCCGACCAUAGAGACAAAUAGGAGUUGAGAAGUCAAAGUUAGGUGCCUUUUUUUGGUAAGAAAUAAAACAAAAAGAAAAAGUUGUCAUCCUUUCAUCUUUUUUUUCUUCUUCCACCAAAAAUGGCAGCAAGGAGGGGCUUGAAAAACUCAAAAUAUCAGCCACUUAUAUUCUUUUCAAGUAAGUGAUUUAGAUGCCUAUUUUUGAUAAUUUUUGUACUUUUGGAACCCUUGUAGCAUGAACUAGCUAAUGGGGGGACUAUUUUGUAAAAUGGUUGAUAGUCUAGGGAUUUACCAUGAAAGGAUUUAUGUUGUUUUCUGAAUUUUUAUGGAAGAAAAUGAGUCUUGGGUGUCUUAUAAACAACUUUUGUGAAAGGUGUUAGCAUGAAAACACCUAAAAAGACUAUAUUGCAUAAGUUGUAAAAUAGAUGUUAUGUAUGUGAAAUAGUGGGAAAUUGGAGUUGCUAUAAGAGUAAAAAGGGUUCGGAUAAGCUUAAGAUGUGAAGAAAUUCGAUAAAAAUCAAUUUUCGGACCUAGGGGUAAAAUGGUCAUUUUACAAAAGUCUAGGGGCAAAAUGGUCAUUUUGCCCAAAUAUAGGUUAUUGAAUACCUAGAUUGAUAAAGUGAUUAAAUUUGUGAACUUGUGUUAUUUUAGAUCAAGAAAAUCGAGAUUUGGGCUUAAAUCAAGAAAGUGUGUGGUUAAAGACAAAAAGAAAAUAAUUAGCCGAAAUUACAUUUGAGGUAAGCCCGUGUGAUUAAAUGACCGUGAUAUUUAUGCCAUUGUUAUUAUACUUGAAAAUCUAUCUUGUCAUGAUUGUAUUAAAGUGUAGGUUGAUGAUAUUGUAUAUGAAAAAGUGAUGUCAAAUGUAAAUAACAUUUAUGUGUUGAUUGAAUGCUUGGAGAUUUGAUGGAAUAUGAUAUUCCAUUGAAAUGAGUAAGUUGUAUGUAAAUAAGACAACUACAUUGUUAUUAUAUGUGUUUAAAUUGAUAUAGCAUGAAUUGCUUGGUUGUGGAAAUGAUUAUGUUUGAUGAAUAUUGAGAUAGUAGAAUUCCCGUUUGAACCUUAAGACACAAUUCGGAUAUUCAUGCCAUGACAUUCGGGUUAUUUGUGAGCCAAUGUAAGACCAUGUCUGGGACAUGGAAUCGGCAUUGAGAUGAGAGCUAGUGUAAUACAUGUCUGGGACAUGCAUCGGCCUCGAGUUGUAAGCCAGUGUAAGACAUGUCUGGGACAUGUAUUGGCUACGAGAUGUGUCAGUGUAAGACCAUGUCUGGGACAUGGCAUCGGCACAGAUGUGUGAGAGCUAGGGUAAGACCAUGUUUGGGACAUGGCGUCAGCCUCGAUUUCGAUAGUCAGUGUAAUACCAUGUCUGGGACAUGACAUCGACUUAAUGGAUGAGCUAGUGUAAGACCAUGUUUGGUACAUGACAUCGGCAUUAUACCCUAUGUUUGAGGCUUAGUGAAUAUCCGAUAGCUUUCCGAAUGGUUCAACGGUGAGAGUUAUGGUUUAAGCUAAAUGAGAAAGGUUAUGACCAUAUUGUGAGUGGUACAGGUACUUACAUGAAAUUGAUGGGAUGUGAAUUCAAUUCAUGUUAUAUGAUUAGUAAGAAAUGAAAAUGAGCAUGUUGAGUAAUACAGGUAUGUAUGCCAAGCUCAUGAGAAAUGAUUUCAGUUUACAAUACACCUUUAGUGAAGAUGUAAAUAGGUAAUUCAUGCUUAUGAGAAUGAUUUUGUGAUGACCUUGUGAUUAUAGGUCUAUACUUAUGAUGUAUGAAUAUGUAACCUUACCAAUGUGGUGAAAGUGAAUUAAUAUGGUGUGAUAAACUAGUAUCGUUAAUUUACACAAAAACAGUUUUGGACAGUAGCCAUAGUCCAAAUUUGAAAAUCCACAAAAAAUUGUGGAAAUUGAUUUAGAGGCUGAAUAAAAUAUGAAAUUAAAUCCUAUUGAGUCUAAUUUCACAUAGAAGAAAUGGUGUAAGUAAAAGAGUUUCAUAUUAUGAAAUAUUUAAAUUGUUGUGAGACAGAGUCAGAAUGACUUCGAAAAUCCCCUAUUCUGAUUUGAAAAAAUCAUUGAAAAUUGUAAAAAAAUAUUUAUGACUUAUAAUUUAUAUUAUUAUAAUUCUUAAUGAGUAAUUUUCAAGAUAAAUAGACGAUAACAUCAUCUUAGUCCCGUAUUAUGAGAUAAUUAAUUUUUAGUAAAGAGGGGUUAGAACUGUCAGACAACGAAAAAGGGUAACUUUGAGGAAUAAAAUAUACUAAUUGGCUAAACCAAAAAUUCUAAAAAUUUUAUGGUAAGAAGAUAUGUGAGUCUAGUUUCAGGAAAAAUUAGCAUAACUUAAUUUGGAGUUCUGUAGCUCCAGAUAUAAAUAAUUUAGUGAAUCUGACUUGAGAAAAUAGUUUGACUGGAACAUGAGUAAAAAAUGCGAAUAGGGUUGUAUUACCAUCAAAAGAAAAUUGAUAAAUUGCUUAUUAUUUUCAUACGGUCUUGCUAAGCUAUAAAGCUUACUCCCUUCCUUUCCUUUCCUUUAGUGUUUUCAGGUUAGCUCGGAGUUGGAGAUCGUCGGAGGCAGCAUCACACUAUAAAGUCGCUACCUUUGGAAUAAUGAAGUAUAUAUUAGAAAUUUCAAGUGAGUGGCUUGUAUAGAGAUGUAGUUGAUUGACAUGUAUUAUUUUUCUUUGGCCAAAUGUAUUGGUUUAAAUUGAGUUUUAUGUAUAUGGCCAUGAGAUGUGGGUCAUAUUGAUUAUGGCUUGUAAGCCUAGCUAUUUAUGUCAUGUCUAGUUUUUAUAAUGUGAUUAUGUUUGUUUGCCAUGCAUGGUUAGUAAUAUGACAUGUGUGUUGGAUGUAUGCUCUAUGACCAAUUGAGGUGUUCAUAGCCAUGUAGUAAUUGCAUGUUAUAUACACAACGUGAUAAUGAUUGAACAUUAGUGCUUGAUGGAUAAGUUGGUAACCGUAGUAUAAUGGUAAAAGUGAUCAUCAAAAUGACAAGUCUUAUGAAAGUGAAAUAAGGAAUCUAGACUUGGCAUUGCAUGAGUAUAUGCAUUACUUGUAAGAGGACAUGUUAAUGUUAAGGAUAUAUCUUAAUAAAGAAUGUUUAAUCAUUAAAAUGAUGCCAUGAUUUGCGAUUUUGAUGUACAUAAGGUUGUAAGAGAUUAUGGGUAACAUGAAAGCUUGGAAAAUAGCCGAAGUGUUGGCCAUAUGGGCUGAGACACGGCCGUGUGUCUCAACCGUGUUAGAGACACAGCCUGGAGACACGGGCGUGUGGCCCGGCCGUGUGGUUCGAUGUACAUGCUGAUGUCAUAAACAGAGAGUUACAUGGUCUGAGGACACGGGCGUGCCAAAGGUACACAGGCAUGUCCCUAUGUCCACACGGGCGUGUGACCUUGUUUUGUGGGAAAAUUUCCUAAGUUUUUUUGAAACUUUUAAAAGUUCUCGGUUUAGUCCCGAAUCAAUUCCGAUGAAUGUUUUGGGCUUCGUAGACCCAAAUAAGGGAUGACAUGCAUGUGUUUGAAAGGUUUUGAAUUAAAAGAGAUUUUAUGGCCCGAUUUUUGCAUGAAUGUAUAUGUUUAAGUCCAGUAAUGUCUCGUACCCUGUUCUGGCGUUGGACAUGGGUAAGGUGUGUUACACUAAUAGCCUAAAACACACAACUUCAUCAAACAUGUUAGUCAUUAUUCCACAUAAAUUUCAAGAAUCAAAGAUGAGCUCAUCAUAGUAUAACUUUCAUAUACAUAUGCUUUUCAUAUCAUAUUUCCAUUUAACAUGUACAUUUCCAUACACAUAUAUCUUUCAUCCCAUAUUUCAAUUUGUCAAAUAUCAUCACUUUCAUGUAUUUCAGGUAUAAACGGGUAAUAAUUCAUUUUGAACUCAUAUUUUCUCAUGUUAGGAUUUUUCCCAUUGAAUUAUUGAAAAUAUCGAUAGAUACAUAGGUAGUACAAACAAGGUGUACAAAACUGUAAUCUAUCAAAUCAUAUUCUGGGGUACCCAUUAGGGCACAUAAUUAGGAAACACUCUCUCGAGCCAUAUAAUAGGAUGCUCAUGUGAGCCAUGUAACAUGAAGCUUAUCCGGGCUAAAUCAAGAAACUCAUAAGAGUUUAGAAUAGGAAGCUCAUUGAGCUUAACAGGUAACUCUGAAAAGCUAUUAUUAGGGAACUCUGGAUAGCCAUAUAAUAGGAUGUUCAAGCGAGCCAUAUUAGAAAGCUCAAGAAGAGCCUAGAUUAGAACGCUCAUAAAGAGCUGUGUUUGUGUCCACAAUAUAUGCAGGAUCACAACCGAUCAUAUAAUAAGAUGCUCACAAAGAUUUGUGGUAUGUCCGCAACAUAUGCAGGAUCAAUACCGAUCAGGAUGCUCACAGGAACCAUGUAACGGGAAACUCGAGAGGGCUUAUAACAGGAUGCUCUUUCAAGUUAAGGUGUAUCUACAACAUAUGCAAGACCACAACCAAUCAGGAAGACUUGUAUCCAUCAAAUUCCAUCUAUUCAAGAGGGACUUAUUAUUUAUCGGGCAUAAUCGGACAUGUGAUCAAUUUCAUAUAUAAUGCAUUCAUACAAUUCACAUAUACCACACUCAAAUCAAACAUAUAUAAUACACACAAUUUAGUUACACGAACUUACCUAGAUAAACGUUCGUAUACAAAGAUCUACUAAUCUGAUACUUUUUGUUUUCCUCGAUCCAGCUCUGUACUAGGUCUAUCCGGAUCUAUAUAAAUGAAUUUAACAUCAAUUUAAUCCAUUUCAUACUCAAUUUAAUUCAAAUCAAACCCUAGGCAAAAUUACCAUUUGUGCAAUUUAAUCCAUAUUCCAAGUCUAAUCGAUUUUUACAUAUAACAUUUACAGCACAUAUAUUUCAUAAAAAUCAGAAAUUUUCCAUGGAUUUUUUAUCUUUACAAUUUAGUUCCUAAAGCAUAAGUUCAUGAAAAUUCACUUUACAAAAGUUGUUUAUCUAUCAACAACCUUUCAUUUUCUAUUAUAAAUUUCAAAAUUUCAGCAUAUUCAUCCACGGAAAAAUUUCAAUACUUUAAUAUCUUUUCAAAUUGAUUCCCAAAAUAGAUAGAUUAGGUUAUUCCGAUCUCAAAAAUAUAAAAAUUACUAAAAACGGGACAUGAUUACUUGCCUAAUUAAGCUUGCUUGAUUUUCUUUCUCUUUCUUAGGGUUUUCAUAAAAUUUGGGGAAGAAGAUGAUAUAAAAUGAUGAUAUUUGAUAUUUAUUUUAUGUAUCAUCUUUUAUUUAUUUCAAUUUCUAAUUUAGUCCUUUUUUUUCUAAUUUUCCAUGGAUGAAUCAUCAAAAAUAUCUAUUAAAUUUUUAAUGGUCUAAUUACUAUAUAAGGACCUCAAGUUUUGAAUUCCAUAACUAUUUGAUACUUAUAGCUACUAUAACUCAACUUUUGUAUUUUAUGCAAUUUGGUCCUUUCUAUUAUUAAACAUGAAAUCGAUAAAAUUUUCUUAUCAAAUUUUUCAUAAGUCUUUCCUAUCAUGAUGCAGACCAUGCAAUAAUUUUAAAAUAAAUUUUCUUUCUGACUCGGAUUUGUGGUCCCGAAACUAUUGUUCCGAUUUCAUUGAAAACGGACUGUUACAUAGGGACUGCAAACCCUAGUGUAUUUAAAUAGGGUUGUCGCCCUGUCCCCCCAAUCCUAGUUAGACUAGGAUUAUGUUUUUCUAUUGAAAUAGACUUCUAAUAAUUCAACAAGGGUUUCAUUUCUUCUCCCUAUAAAUAGAUGGAAACGGUAAGGCUAAAUACAGAACUUUGAGAUAUUGUUAUUCUGCCCGAAAAUAGUGAGAAUUUAUUUUCUAAGUAUAAAUUCUAUAUUCUAGAAUGCAAUUCUACUAGUUUUUAUUAAAGAGAGAUUUUCUUUUCCACUAAAAGUAAAGUAAAUGAUUUCUGGUUCUGUGCUUGAUUUGAAUUUGUUCAAGCCUACAAUCAAAGUAGCUUGUGGUACAGGAAUAACAAAGAAGGUCAUUCAGUUGAAAGCCAAGAACGAUAAGGAUCCGUUUGGUCGAAAACACAGGUGUGAUUUUUGUAAAGCUUUUAUUGAUAUAAAUAUAAAAAAUCGACUUGAUUUUCAAAAAUUAAAUUUUUCGCUGUGCAAGAAAACUAUUUUCAAAUAAAUUUUUUUUCAAAUAUUCAUAUUAACCAAGAAAGAAUAACUAUACUUGUUAAAGAUGAUACCUUAAGUUUGCUUAAGGAAAUUGAUAUUCCACAAUGUGAAUCUUGCUUCGAAGGUAAGAUGACUAAGUGAUCUUUUAAUGCAAAAGGAAUGAGGGUUGUCAAUGUAACAACCCAUUUUUCAGUGAAAUCGGAACAGUGGUUUUGAGACCACAAAUCUGAUCCGAAAAUAAAUUUUAUUUUUAUUUUAUUACGAGGUCUGUAAUAUGUUAGAAAGGUCAUGUUAAAAUUUUGAUAAGAAAAUUUUAUUGAUUAUGUGCUUAAUUACGAGAAGGACUAUAUCGUAUAAAAUGCAAAAGUUGAAUUCUAGUAGCUACAAGGAUUAAAUAGCUAUGGAAUUCAAAACUUAAGAUCCUCAUAUGGUAAUUCGACCAUUAAAGAAAAGUAUGUAGAUAUUUUGGUGACUCAUCCAUGGAAAUUUAGAAAAAGGGCAAGGACUAAAUUAGAAUUUGAAAUAAUUUAAUUAAUUAAAAAGAUGAUAAAAGAUAUCAUCUUAAUUUUUAUGUCAUAUUCAACCUAAGAAACCCUAAGAGAGAGAGAGAAGAAACUUUCAUGGCUUAAUUGGGUAAGUUUCCUUGUCCCAUUUUUAGUAAUUUUGAUAUUUUUGAAACUGGGAUAGCUUAAUCUAUCUAUUUGAGGGAUCAAUUUGAAACUUUCAUGGCUUAAUUGGGUAAGUUUCCUCGUCCCGUUUUUAGUAAUUUUGAUAUUUUUGAAACUGAGAUAGCUUAAUCUAUCUAUUUGAGGGAUCAAUUUGAAGAGUUAACAAAGAAUGAAAAUUGGGCCAUCGAUAAAUAUGCUGAAAAUUCAAAAUUUAUGGUAGAAAAUGAAAGGUUGUUGAUGAAAACAUGAUUUAUGCACUAAAGUGUAAAAUUGAUGAAAAUUCUGAAAUUUAUAGAAAAUAUGUUCUUUAAAUUCUAUAUUAAAAUUUUGGUUAGGCUUGGAAUAGGGAGUAAAUUGCAUAAAGUUUAUUUUCCGAGCCUAGGGAUUUAAUUUGAAUUUAUGGAAAAGUUAGGGGCAAAAUGGUAAUUUUUCCUAGGAUAUAAAUUGAGUCCAAAUGAAUAUGAAAUGUGGGAAAUUCAUGAUUAAAGUUAUUUAUAUAGAUCUGGACAACUGAAAUUCGAGGUUAAAUCGAGGAAAAGAAAAAUGUUUCGAAAUAGUAGAUUUUAUACGUGAAGAAGUGUCGAGGUAAGUUUGUGUAACUUAAUCGAGCAUGUAAAUAUGUUAACUUGAAUGUUAUGAGUGUAUGCAGUAUGAUUUAUAAUUAUGUGAAUGUUAUAAAUGUGUGAAUGAAUAUAUGUUCGAAAAUGUUAGAAAAAGGGGUAAAGUCUCGUUUGAAUAUUGAAUUUCGGUGGAUAAAUGUGAUUGCCUUAUAAAAUGAUGUGUUGCAUUUGUUGCUUAUGAGAUUUAGCUCGGACGAGUAAUCUUAUUAAUCUCAUUAUAGAAAGGAUUUAGCUCGGACGGGUAAUCCUGAUAUAAUUCCUCUCGAGCAUAUUUAGGAUUUAGCCUAGACUAGCAAUCUUGUAAUACGAUAUGUGGCUUGAGAGUGUGUUCUUGAUUAAAUUCCCUAAUGGGUACUCUUGAAUAAGAAUUGACAGGUUAUUAAAUUGUACACCUUGAGUGUACUACUCGAGUAUCCAUCAAAAAGUUAAUGAUUCAACGGGCAAAACUCUUGGCAUGAUGAGAGAAUUAUGAGAUGAAAUGAUAAUGUCUUGAAAGAAUAUUGCAUGAUGAGCUCAUCUAUGUUUACUUGAUGUAUAUGAAAAUUUUGUGACUAACAUGUUUGGUUGAAUGCAUGUGUUUAGGCAAUUUUUCCAAGUUGAUGGAAAACAUGAUUUUGUAUGCUUAGAUUUAAUAAACGGGAUUGGUAAGUUUAGUUUCUGUUAUACGAACUUACUAAGCAUAUAAUGCUUACUCCGUUUUAUUUUCCCUUGUUUUAUAGUGCUCGGAAGCUCGCGAAGGUUGGAGGUCAUUGGAGCAUCAUCACACUAACCACUAGCUUAUUUUGGAUAUAUAUAGAAAAAAAAUCAUUUUGGUAUAAUGGCAUGUAUAGGCUAACUUGGCCAUAGAUGGCUUGAAUAUGUGGUUUGUAAUCUAGCCAUUGGAAUGACUAGUAAUGGUUGUUUUGAUAUACUUGUAAUGUCAUACUAUGGUAGCUAGAUACAUGUUAAAUGGUUGUUCAAGUUUUGCCUAUCAUAUGAAAUAUACCAAGGUAAGAUUAUAAACAUGUAUGCAUGUAAUGAUAUACCAUGUUGAAUGAUAGAGUUUGCUUAAUUUGAAUGCUUGAAUUGGUUAGCAAUUGGAUGUGAGUUUAAGUAUAGGUCAUUGGUGUGAUUUUGGGUGAGAAAUGAAGAUAGAAAUGGCUUUAUUUUGUCCACACUGGUAGACACACGGGCGUGUGUCUAUACCGUGUGUGACAGACGGCCUGGUAUAUAGGCGUUUGAUUAGGCCGUGUGUCCCCUGCACCUUUAACUCGAAAAAAAAUGCUCAAAAUUGAGCACACGGGCAGAGACACGGGCAUGUGUCUCAGUCGUGUGUGCUACACGGCCUAGAACACGAGCAUGUGUCUUGACCGUGUGAAACCUGCACCUAAUUUCGAAAGAAUUUAAUUAACCACAUGGCCUAGCACACGGGUGCGUGGCAUGGUCGUGUACACAAGUCAGAGAGUUACACGGGGUCGAACAUGACCUGUAGUACGGGCGUGUCCCUUGGACCACACGGGCGUGUGAGCCCUGCACUUUGGAAAAUUUUUUAGAUAUCGCUAAAAUUUCUUAGGGUUUCCGAUUAAGUCCCGAUUCAAUUUUAAUGCUCAUAUUGGGCCACGAGGGUCUAUUUCAGGGACGAUAUGAAUAAUCUCGGUUAGUGAAUAGUAAAUUACGUGAAUUAUCUAAAAAAAUAUUCUAAAAAUUUUGAUAAUGCUCCGUAACUUUGUUCCGGCGACGGAUACGGGUUAGGGGUGUUACAGUCAAACUCUUAGAGCUUAUGCACACUCAUAUAUGUGGCCCCAAGAACGUCAAUGUGCAAGGUGAUUACAAUUAUUACAUAACCUUUAUAAAUGACUAUUCCAGAUAUGAAUAUGUAUACCUAAAGCACCGUAAAAGUGAAACUUUUGAUAAAUCAAAAGAGUUUCGUGCAGAAGUGGAGAAACUAGUAGGUUUACCCAUAAAGAUACUUCAGUUUAAUCAAGGUGAGGAAUACUUAUCGGAUAAGUUCUUAGGUUACCUCGUAGAGAAUGGAAUAUUAUCCCAAUUAACCGCGCUAGGAAUUACACAACAAAAUGACAUGGCAGAGAAAAGGAAUCGAACCUUGUUGGACAUAGUUUAAUUGAUGUUAAGUUAUUCAUAGCUUCAAGUCUCUUUUUGGAGAUAUUUUUUACAAAUGACUUGUUACAUUUUGAAUGAUGUACCAAAUAAGUUCAUACCUAAAACUCCAUACUAAUUAUGGAAUGGCAUGAAGCCAAGUCUAAAUCAUUUAAGGAUUUGCCGAUGGCCAGCCCACGUGUUGGAUAAAGAUAUGAGGAAAUUGGAUUCACAGAUAGAGUUGUGUAUGUUUGUGAGUUAUCCAAAAGGAAUAAAGGGUGGUUUGUUUUAUAACUCAAAAUAGCAAAUACUGAUAGUGUCCACUCAUGCUACCUUCAUUGAAGAGAGUUACAUGAACGACUUUAAAUCUUAAAGUAAAGAAGUACUUGAGAAAAUUUUGGGAAGUACAUAAAUCCUUGGUCUCGGAUCAAACUCUUAAUAAUAGAUUUACAAACAAUCAUCAACAUAAGGAGCUUCGUUGUAGUGAGAGGGUUUCUCGUACGCCCGAGUUCUUCUAGUCUGGCAGAAGUGUUUUAAACAUUGAGUUUUCUGAACAGGAAGAUGAUGACCAACCUACAUUUAAAAAACGAUGCAGAGUGUUGAUUCCAAGCUUUGGGAAAUAGCUAUAAAAGCUAAGAUGAAUUCUAUGAAAUCCAGCUAAGUGAUAUACAAGAAGAAAAGAAAUGCGAAUGGAAAAGUGGAAACUUAUAAGGCUAGACUUGUAUCAAUUACGAAGAAGCCUUCUUUUUGGUUGCCAUACUCAACUCAAUCUGCAUAUUGUUAUCCAUUGUGGUGACUCUUAAUUAUGGAUCUGUCAAAUGGAUACCAAGACAAUGUUCUUGAAUGACUAUCUUGAAGAGAGCACCUAUAUGAUGCAACCCACCCUAUAUAUAACUAAAGGAAAUUAGCAUAAAAUUUACAAAUUGCUUAGAUUUCAUAUAUGGACUUAAGUGAGCAUCCCACUCAUGGAAUCAAAUAUUUGAUCAAAACUUUUGAAUUUGAGCAAAAUAUUGAUAAACCUUCUAUUUAUAAACGUAUUAAGGAUGGAAAUGUGGUCUUUCUUAUUGUAUAUGUCGAUGACAUUCUACUCAUUGGAAAUGAUUUAAGUACAUUGUCAUCGGUUAAAUUGUGAUUAACCCAACAGUUUAGCAUGAAAGACUUAAGAAAAGCUAUCUUUGUUCUAAGCAUUUGAAUCGUAAGGGAUAGAAAGAAUAAAGUGAUAGCAUUAUCACUAAGAAUAUACAUAGACAAGAUAUUGAAAAUUUAUGCAAUAACCGAUUCAAAAUUUAGUCAUUAUACUAUAGUGGAAUAACUUCACGACUAAAGAAGUUUAUAAUUAAUAGGCGAAAAGUUGGACAUUGAUUAUAAAUUAUUUGAGCCCUUAUUAUGUAUGUACAAUUGGUCCCCCCACUAGCUCGUUGAAACAAAAAAUGAAUUGCAUGUGGAAGAAAAUGAAUACAAAUGAAUAUAAAUGAUAAAGUCGGAGAAAUAGGUCACAUUAACAAAUUAAUUUGUUUUCUCACCAGGUAUAGAAAUGACUUGAGAAAAUAAUUUAAGGUUUUUGAAUGAUUAUUUAAUUAAUUAUAAUUAAAUAAUUAAAGUUAAAAAAAUGAAAUUAAAUUAAUUUUCCAUUAUGAAUCCUUUGAAUAAUGAAAUUAAAUAUAUUUCCUCAUAAAAUAUUUUACAAUAAAGUUGUUAUAAUUUUAAUGGAAUUAGAAUUGAGUUGACAUAAUUAUUUAAUUGGGUAAUUAAUUUAGUUAAUUAAAUUAAUUAAUUAAUUAAUAUUUAUUUUUGAAAAUAGAAAAUAAACAUUAGGUUUGAUUAAUUUAUAAAAUGCUAGGUUAAAAGUUUAGGAAACUCAUAUAAUUGAACCCAAUACAUGAUAGGCCAAAUUUGUCCCGUAUAACAUGUGAGCAGCAGCAACCCAAAGGGAAUUUAAGAGAGUGGUUGCCUCCUCUCUCUUAGUUAGAUUAAGGGAGUGUUUUCUAUUAAAAUAAUUGUUGAGUAUGACUCCUAUUUCAGUCAAAUUUGAGAAAUAAUAUUCCAGUUAAAUUCUGUUUAUUUGUUUCAAUCAAACACUGAUUAGUCUAGAUUAUUUUAUUAUUAUUUGACCUAUGAAUUUAGCCUAUAAAUAGACUCUUUUACAACUUUAGAAAAUACAUCCAUUAGAGAUUAGAACUCAUAACACUUUUGGAGAAUAUUUGUGUUUAUGUUUUGAAGGUUCUUUGUUUUUUGGGGUUUCGGGGUUUAGUUUUUAUCUCCAUCUUUGUACUCUUCGUUCUUUUGCCAUUAUAGUAAAAUUAUCUUUACCCGUGGUUUUUUAUCCUCUUUGGAAGGGUUUUUCCACGUUAAAUUUGUGUGUUCAAUUUUUCAAUUUCUUCCGCUAUUUUUACUUGUUUGUUGCUUAAUUAGGUCGAUCGCCAAUAGUAACAUUAUUUGUUUAAGCCUUAUUCAACCAAGAUUCUUCUAUUUCUCCCUAUAAAUAGAUAGCACCGAUUAACUUAAAAAACACAUUUAUUGGUUAUUGAUUUAUCAUUAUUCUACCAAAAAAAUAGUGAUAAUUUAUUCACUUAAAAUAAAUUAUAUUUUCUGGGAAUUACGAUUUUUAUUAGUUUCUUGAGAGAAUUAUUUUGCUACUGAAAGUAAUAAUAAUUUCUUGUUCUUUGUUUGGUUCAUGUUUCUCGAGCCCACACUCAACCUAAAUCCAUCUUGCACAAUGUACAGGUACUUUUCGGUAAAACGGUUAUUGCUAUAAAUAUCACAAAUCGGUUCAUUUUUUAAAAUUUUUAAACUUCUGCUAUAACUAUAAAUCGUUAUGAUGGAUUUUGACAAACCACAUUUUUAAGUGGGACUGUGUGCAUUAAAUCAAAUAAAAUUAUGAAAAAUUUUGAAAAACCACAUUUUUAAGUGGAAUUGGAAAAAGGAAAUUGAGCUACUAAGAUCCCCUUUUGAAAUUACUUAUAGAUUAUGAAAUUCUUUAAUAUAUUUACCCAAAUAAAUAAGUUCAUUUUUAGAAAUUUAAAAAUCUUAAUAAAAAUAAAAUCCCUCCUAUAAAUCCCUCACCCAAAACACACUUUUAAAUACCUAUGCAAGUUGAGAAGCAAAUGAUGACAAAGACUAUUCACUAACAAAUGAUCCAUUAGAAUGACUGACCGGCAUUACGCCUGUGCGUAUAAAACAAAAAAUUUAUAAAAUAAUUUUUAUAGCACGGUUUUACUACAAGCAUGUAGGUCAGUUGUAAUAUUUGUAGUGUUACAAUGGAACACCAACGUAUUCCAAGGAUCGAACCCAAAGGAGUUGGUGACUUAGUGAUCUGCCACAAAUUAUUGACCGCCGCCGGACGUACUAACGUCUAGAGUGUGAAUAUUAUAGCAAAAGAUAUAUAUAUAAAUGAUAAGGUAUCUACAAGUAUACGGGUCGGGUUGUAAUAUAGCUACAACGAAAUAGGUAAGUAUUUUGAGGAUCGUACCCAAAGGAGGCUAGUACUAGCUCAAUUUCAACCUAAACACCAAAAGAUCUAAUUAGUACUUGAAAUAGGUUAUAUUAUGAAAAUAUAAGUAAUAGAGAUUUUUGGGGGUUUUUUAUAAUAAUGAAAAUAUGACAAGUAAUUAAGUAUCGAGAAAUUGAAAAGUGAAAUUAAUCAAAUCUGAUUAUGGGUGAUUAGCUCGCUUCGGUAAUCUUCAUCAACUGCUGCUUCAAGUUCCUCGUCAAUCAACUAGUUGAUAUCCUAGCAGGAUCUUUUGAUACAUCCGCUAGAAUAACAAGUUAGCAAGGACUACUUAUCUUCCGACCUCACAGUUCAUAUCGGUUUGGGGUGAAGGUGUUCACGGAUAGGCCAUACCAAUUUUAGGUUAAUUUCCACCUUGAUAACUUCCUAAGGUUAUCAAGCCUAGGUUUUUGGUUCUUCCUUUCCCAAAUAGCUGAUCCGUUGAGUAACCCUACAAAACAGUUAAUAGAUUAUAUCUCCACUCGUUAAUCCCCUAUAAAAAGAUUAGUUCCUCAUGGUUGUCGUAAACAAUAUAAAGUUAAUAUAAAGCAUAAACAUGAUAAUUGAAUCGAAAGUAUAAAGUUUAAGAAAAAGCCUGAUUUGUAUUACAAAGAAGAAUAAAUCUAAAAAGUUUAAUCUUAUCCACAAGCCAUAUUUCCCAAGGUAAAAAAAGAACAAGCUAAAAUAAAUCUAAAACCUAAAGAAAAGAGAAAUACUAAACUAAAAAUAAAAAAGUGAGAUUCUAAGCUAAGUAAUCAGUGUCUAUAACAUGUGCCAAAUGAGCCUAAUUAGAGAUUUGAGGUGAUCGUCGUCCUUAACCCUACGUUAAUUGACAUUCCUGAACUUUAAGUUGGAUUGUGCAGACCAAAAUGCCCCUUAGCUCGUAUUAAUUCUCGUCUAGAGUCGAUGUUGUGACACAUCAGGACUUGUAUCGAGACAUAAAAUUCAGUAUACUUUUCUUUAAGGUAUCUUCAGGGGUAUGUCACGACACCCUUAGGCUAUGUCGUGACAUCAAAGGCAGUCUCAGAAUUCUUCUACUCUGUUUUCUAUGCUGCGACAUCGAAUCCUUCGUGUUGCGACAUAGUGACCAAUAUCGGUUUAGCACGCCUUCUAAUCGUCUCCUGUAUACUCAUAAAGUUAACCUUUAGACCUCAUUCGGCCCCUAAGUUCAUUAAAAGACUCAAUUUUCACAUUUUAUUGAAUUUAAUUAAACUUACUAAAACAUAAUUAAAAUCUAAUGAUAAUACUUAUUUUCAAGCUCUUAAAGUGAAAAAAUUAGUUUAAUUGCUACACCUAAUUAUGACAGAUCAAUUAUAUUAUUACUUACAUCACUUUUUACACAUAAUUUUAGCUUUUUUAAUAGUAAAUCAAAUUAUCUUAGUAUAUAUUUGUGUUUUCAUACUUGAAGUAAUGAUGUAUGCUUUUUAGUAGUUUUUAUUACAUUUUAGAUAUAUAAAUAUGGUUACAUGUUUGUAACACCCCUUACCCGUAUCCGAUGCCGGGAUAGGGUUCGAGGCGUCUGGGCCACAAAAUUUUUUCCCAAAAUUAAAACAUCUCAAACACAUGCAUUUCGUCCCUUAUACAGGCUUUUGAAGCCUAUAACAUACAUCGGGGAGGUCCGGGACUAAACUGAGAACUUUGAAAUCUUUGGGCAACUUAACCAAUUUUCUUGCUUUGGAGAGUCACAUCCCCGUGUGGGUUGGGCCAUGUGGUCACACACGCCCAUGUGGCUUCGGACACGCUCGUGUCCUCAGCCCGUGUAACUCUCUGUUUAUGACAUCAACCAAACAAAUUGAUCCACAUGGUCAAGCCACACACCCGUGUGCUUGACUGUGUCCUCCACACAGCUGAGACACACGGUUGUGUCUCUGCCCGUGUGGUCAACACUUAGGCUAUUUUCUAAUCCUUAUGUUGUCCUUAAUUCUUUCUCAUCCUUUACACAGCAUGGACCUAAGUUAUUGCAACCAAUUAUAAUCACACGUCAUACAUUAACCCAUAGCAGGAAUAAUUAGGCCUACAAGCCAUAACCAUAAUAACCCACAUCUCAUGGCUAUAUACAAUCGAUCAAUAUAAACCGAUACAUUUGGCUAAUCAUAACAACGACUAAUAUAAAAACUAGUCCUUAUACAUGCCACUCACUUGAAAGUGUUUAAUACACGUAUGACAAUACUCCAGAGUCGAUAGCUUGCUAGUGUGAUGCUACCUCCGACAAUCUCCAACCCCGAGCUGACCUGACAAAACUAAAAGAAAUGGGAAAGGAGGGAGUAAGCUUUACGCUUAGUAAGCUCGCAUGAAAAUAAUAAGCAAUGUGAUAACAUGCUAUUUUUAUAUUCUUUCUAUUUAUUCAAAUUCCAGCUAAGCUGUUUUCUUGAGUCAUAGUCAUUAAAUUAUUUAUAUCCAGAGUUACAAGACUCCAAAUCAAGAUACAUUAAUUUUCUCAGAAACUAGACUCAUACUCUUCUUACCAUAAAAUUUUCAGAAUUUUUGGUCAAUCCAAUAAAUUCAUUUUAUUAAUCAAAUUCUCCCCUGUUUCACUGUUUGAUAGCUUCUACCUUUCUUUACUAAAAUUUAUUUAUCUCAUAGUACGAGACUCAGAUAAUGUUCUUGUAUCUUUUUCAUGAAAGCAUACUCACUAAGGAUUUUAUUCAUAUGACUCAUAACUCACAAUUAUUUUUGUAAAAUUUCUAGUGAUUUUCCAAAGUCAGAACAGGGGAUUCCGAACUCAUUCUGACUCUGUCUCACAAAAAUUCAUAUAUCUCGUAAUAAAAAAUUCUUUUUCUUACACCGUUUCCUUUAUCUGAAACUAGACUCAUUAAGCUUUAAUUUCAUAUAUUAAUCAGCCUCUAAUUCAACUUCCACCAUUUAUGGUGAUAUUUCAAAUUCGGGCUACUGCUGCUGUCAAAAACUAUCUUAGUACAACAUAAUGAUAAUCAUCCCAAGUUUGUCAUAGAAAUUAUUCUUAUAAUUAUCACUCAUUCAUUUGCACUCUUAUCACAAGUCCAUUUCAUUUCACAUGUCAAACACAUGCUCAUGGGUUUCGAGUAUGUUCCUGUGCUAUCUCUUAGCACAACCACUCAUCCAAACAGGACAAUCAUAUGCAUGAUACUAGUAUCAACUAAGCAUAAAUGAGUUUAUCAUGCUGUUUUUCUUUAUAUCACUAUGUAUGUCAUUACUGCUGAAUUAUUAAAUUUUUGAUAGACCUUUCCUUUUCCAGUUGUACACUCGAGGUGUACGUUUCUUUCUGAGUGGUACAUACAAAACAUACCUUUCCUUUUCAUAUGGUAUACACAAAGUAUACCUAACCUUUCCAAGUGUACACACAAAGUGUACAUAACCUUUUCAAGUGUACACAUAUAGUGUACCUUUCCUUUUCAAGUGGUAUACACAAAGUAUACCUUUCCUUUUCAUAUGGUAUACACAAAGUAUACCCUUCCUUUUCAAGUGUACACACAAGGUGUACAUAACCUUUUCAAAGUGUACCGUUUGGGUACAUAAGUCCUUUUCAAGUAUUAACCCUUUUGUGAUACAUUUCCUUUUCAUAAUGAGAUCAAAAGAUUACCCUUUAGGGACAAUCUUUAUUGCAACAUAUGUAAGAUAUUAUAUUCACGGUAAUCACCUGUCCAAUCAGAAAUCAAUAUUCAAACUAAUUCAUGCACCAUUUCAUCAUUUAUAUAAGUCAUAAAUCAAUAUUUGUUUAUUACAUGUACUUAUCAAUUACAAAUCAUGAUGCACAUAAUUCAACAAUCAAUUAAACACAUUUACAUGCUUAAUUUAGUUAUACGAACUUACUUGUCGAAAUCUCGUCAGAUACAACCGUGUAGCAAUUCAUAUAACCCAUGUAAUAGUAAUUUAACAUUCAAUUCAUGUAACAAUAAUUUGCCAUUCAAUUUCACAUGACACAACAAACAUUACAUUUUCCAUAUCAUAAACACCAUCCAUCAACUUCUCCUAAACAUUUUAAAUCAUACAAUUUAUACCAUAUCAAUAGAGAAUUACAAUUCAAGCAUGGUAUUACACUAUUAUUAAUACACAAACUUACCUCGGAUCCAGAAACGACAAUUUACCAUUUUAGUCCAUAACCUUGUAUUUUCUCGAUUUAAGCUCGAAUCUCGAUUUUCUUGAUCUAUAAUAUCACAUUUAGCCUAAUAAUUAGUCACAUUAUUCAUAUGGGUCCAAAAAUCAUAUUUUUACAAAUUUUCAUUUUGACCUCUAAACUUUCACAUAUUUUCACUUUUGCCCCAAUACUCGUAAAAUGAUUUUUAUUCAAUUUCCUUACAUUUUAAGCCUAGCUGAAUCAUUUUCAUAACUAUUCCAGCCCCCAAUUUCCACUAAAUCUCCCUUUUAUGAUCAAUUUUACAACUUUUACAAAACAGUCUUUUCGGACGUUUUCAUCGAAAACUGCUUAGUAAAAGUCGUUUAUUUAACACCCAACACUCAUUUUCUACCAUUAAACAUCAAAAUUCAUGCACGUCACAAAUGGUUAAAUUUUUAAACAUAAACCCUAGCUCAAAAUAAUGGUAGAAAUGAGUAGAUCAUGUUACCGAUAUUUCAAAAAUGUAAAAAUCAUUAAAAACGGGGCUAGAACGAACUUACAAAAAAGCUUGGAAGCUUGAAAAACCCUAGCCAUGGUUUCUCCAUGCAAUUUUCGGCCAAGUGGUUGAAGAUGGACAAAUUUUAGCUUUUAAUUUUGUUUUUAAUUCAUUUUAAUAACUAAAUGAUCAAAAUGCCUAACCAUGUCCAUUUUUGUCCACCAACUUAAACAAUAGUCUAAUUACCAUAUAAGGACCUCCAAUUUAAAAUUUCAUAACAAGUAGACACCUCUAGCAUGUAGAACUCAACUUUUGUACUUUUUACGAUUUAGUCCUUUUGACUAAAUUGAGUGCCCAAACGUUAAAAUUUUUGAACGAAAUCUUCACGAAAUCAUUUCGUGAAAUGUAGACCAUAAAAAUAUAAUAAAAAUGAAAUUUUCCUCAUCGGAUUUGUGGUCCCGAAACCACUGUUCCGACUAGGCCCAAAAUCGGGAUGUUACAAUGGUCUUGUAGGACAAAUCGAGAGCUAAAGAUGCAUAUUCAUGAUGGAACUGUUGCCUAUGUUGCGACACCAAGACAUCGGUGUCACAACAUUGAAGACAGAAGUAAAAACAUGUCAUGGAGCGAAACUGCUUGGUAUGUCGUGACAUAGCCUUACUAUCUUGGAGCGAAGACCCAAUAAACUGUAUAUAAAUUGAAACCUUGAAAUCUUCCCUAUCCUUGGUUCUUUAAUACAUUACAAAAUAAAUGUUAGGCCAUAGGUAUUGUGUAAUACCCCAUACCUGUACCUGAGACCAGGAUAGGAUACGAGGCAUUACCGAAAUUUUCAGAAUAAUUUCAAUUAAUUUAUAUUAUUUAGUAUUCAUUUUCAUGUUUCAUAUAACAUCCUUUUCAUAUAUUCAAUUAAAAAUAUCAUAUAAAAUACGAUACAAUACUUAAAUUUUUAUAUUUACAUGCUCAUUCAGGGUAUCCGAACCUACCUGACUAAAUUGCAGAAAUACCAAGAUUUAGGGGCAUAUUGGUAAUUUACCAUUUUCCCAAAUUUCACCCAAUAUUAAAUUGAUAAUUUCAUUCAAUUUAUUAAUUUAGAUAAUAAAAUAAUUUAUUCCCUUCAAUUUAGUCAUUUUUGACAUUUUUACAAAAUUGCCCCCUAAAAUUUUACUUUUAUUCAAUUUAGUCCAUGAGCUUAAAACAUUCAAAUUAGCCAUGCUAACUGAAUAUUCAUAUAUAUUUUUUCUCCUCCUCCUCUCCAUUCCACAUCCUUAAUGUAUAUAACAUUCUUGUAAGUACGAUUUCACAAUUUACUUAUUAAUGCUCACAUCAAUCUGUUCACACGAGUCAUCGUCACUCAAUUAUUUAUAAUUCGAGCUAAAGAGCUCAAAAUUAAGAUCCGUAAAUUUUCCCUAAAACUAGACUCACAUGUAAUUCCACCAUAAAAUUUUAAGAAUUUUUGGUUUAGCCAAUUAGUACAGUUUAUUCAUUUAAUUUUCCCCUGUUUCACUAUCCAACAGUUCUGACCUCUCUUCACUACAAAUUAAUUAUAUCAUAGUACAAAACUUAGAUAAUGUUUCCACUGAUUUCUAUUGAAAAUAGACUCAUUAAGGAUUCUAAGCAUAUAAAUUUGAGACUCUAAUUAAUUUUCUCCAAUUUUUGGUGAUUUUCCUAAGUCAAAACAGGGGAACCCGAAUUCAUUCUAACCUUGUCUCACAAAAUUCAUUAUAUCUCAUAAUUUACAAAUCCAUUGCUUACACCGUUUCUUCUAUGAAAAACUAGACUCAAUAAGCUUUAAUUUUAUAUUUUAUUCAUCUUAUAAUUCGAUUUCUAAAAUUUAUGGUGAUUUUUCAAAGUUAGUCUACUUCUGCUGUCCAAUAUUGUUUUAGUUCAAGAUGUUUAUUACCAUUUUUCCUCUAAAUUUCAAAGGUCAUAUAAUUCAGUCCUUGCUCAAUUAGCCCAUCUAUUAAGCUAAUUUUUCUCAAUUCACAUUUUAUUCCAUCAUUAUAAACUAUUACACAACAUUUGAAAAUCAUCAUUUUAACACUAAACCUUAAUUCACAACUUUUUCACAAUUAGGUCCUAAAAUCAAUUUCUAUUGAAAGGACUUGAUAAAAUCAUCAAACAACAAAAUCAAAGCUUCAAAUUCAUUUUAUUUCAUCAUAAACAGCCAAAACUUAUCAUUGAUAUCUUUUAAUUUUGUUCAUAAAAUAAAAAACUAAUGAAUUAAACACUUGGACCUAAUUGUAAAAGUCACAAAAACAUAAAAAUCUCAAAGAAAAGGGUAAGAAUUGAACUCACAUAUGUCAAAGUAUGAAAAACCAGCAGCUUUCAGACCUCCCAUGGCGUUUUUGCUGAAGAAAAAUGAUGAUAUCUCUAGAUUUUUCAAAUUUGUCUUGUUUUAUAUGUUUAAUUUGCAAAAUUUCCCAUUUUGCCCUUGUUUCUCCUUGUCUUUUUUGCUGAUUUUCUUGCCCAACCGUCCAGCCCAUACAAUUUGGGUCCAAUUGCCUUUUAAAUCCCUCCUUUUUAAGGACUUAAACUAUUUAAUCACAAUUUAAUAAAUUUCGUAUUGUUUUCAAUUUAGUCCUUUUUAAUUGAUUGACUAACCAAACGUUAAAAUUUUCUAACGAAACUUUAAUACUAACUUAAUAACACUCCAUAAAUAUUUAUAAAAAUAUUUAUGGCUCGGUUUAUAAAUCCGAGGUCUCGAUACCUCGUUUUCAACCAAAUUUACCUGAUUAAUUCUUUUAAAAUCGCAAAAUUCACUAAUUAAAAAUAAUUCUUUUAAGUUCGCGCUUGGGCUAUAAUUAUUAUUUGUUAAAAUUUCUAAACUUACUCGUCGGAUUUAGUGAUCUCGAAUCACUGUUUCCGACACUACUGAAAAAUUGGCUGUUACAUAUUGAGUGUUUAGCAGAUACAUCACGGUGGUUUCAAAAAAGUUUAGAGCGAAAAAGGAAGAAACAAUGUGAUACAAUGAUUAUAGGUCGAGCAAAAAUGUGUGAAAAAAGAAAAAUCUAGAAAAAGUAAAAAGUAAAAAUAAGAAGAAAAAGUACAAAAUAAAAUCAAAAGCAUUGUGAGUGAGAAAAAAAGUAAAAAGUCAAGUGACAAAAUAAAAAGUCACAAAAGUGAGAGAAAAACUCAGUCAUCAAUGCACAAAAACUCAUUCAGCCAACCAUAGUUGUUAGUAUUAUAUUGUCUCUUCCUAUAUGGAGAGAUAAGGAAGGUGAGAGAGGGAGAAAAAAGACGACAAGCUUGAAAGGGGCACCUAAGGGAAGAGAAGGAAUAAUGUCAUGUGCCUAACUAUUUCUAGUGUUUGAACUAUUUUGAGCCAUAUCUUUCUUUGAACUCGUACCGUCCUAAGCCUCAGAAUGUUACAAGCCUAAAAGACCAAUGUGACUUAAGCGUUCUCUGUGCAUAAUCUUCCGGUACUACUAACAAUUGUACUUAAUGAAAAUUUUUGAUUCACAUGAUUGUAUCUGCUACAUAUCUAUUUGAUUUCUGUUAAUGGUGAUAUUGUUAAACAUUUGAUUGUGAGAAUUGCUUCUAAUUUAUUAGUGAUGUAACUUUGUAAACUAAUCUUAAUUUACUUUAAAAAGUUUUCAAUACAUCAAACUAUCAAAAAUAAGUUGCAUGUGCGAUAAAAUUUUUUGUACCUUUACUAUUUGACAACCAUAUUCGUAGUAGUAAUAAAUUCUAAGGGACGUCUUCUUUUUGCAUGCUAUAUGUCUACACUUAGUUUGCUUGAGGACAAGCAAAAAGUUAAGUGUGGGGGAGUUUAAGUGUGAGAUUCUUAUUUACAUCCAUCUUCACUAACUUUACAUUUGUUUAAAUAAAGAAAUCAAGUUAUUUUCGUAUUUUUUUUCCUUUUUCCCAUAUAUGUGUUUUGGUUGCUUGAGGACAAGCAACAAGUUAAGUGUGGGGGGAGUGAUCUACCACGAAUUAUACUAUUAUUUACAUCCCUUUUUACACAUAAUUGUAGCUUGUUUAAUAGUAAAUCAAAUUAUCUCAGUAUCUAUGUUUUCAUACUUGAAGUAAUGACAUAUGCUUUUUAGUAGUUUUUAUUACAUCCUAGAUAUCUAAAUAAGGUUACAUGGUCUUGUAGGACAAAUCGGGAGCUAAAAAUGCAUAAGCAGGCCGAAAAUGUUGGUUAUGUCGUAACACCAAGACACCGAUGUCACAACAUCAGGGACAAAAGCAAAACAAGUCCUGGAGCAAAACUGCUUGUUAUGUCUUGACAUAGCAAGCACCAGAUUCGAUUUUGCAACAUUGCAUGCCUAUGUUGCAACACCACUUCUGCGCAGUCCAAAAGUCCUAGUACGUGACAGUUGUGUUUUUUAGGGAAAUUAGGAGUAUUUUUCCUAGUCAAACUCUAAGUACUUCAAGGAUAGUUUAGACACUUUAAUAUUCCAAGUUUAACCUAUAUAAAGGCCAUUGUAAUAAGUUCAAACACACAAUUUUAAGGAGACAAAAAUUAUUCUUACUUUUUUAUUUUGUUCUUAGUUUCUACUUAGUUUAUUUUAUGUUCUUGUAAUCGAAAGAUCCUAUUCCAAAGUAAGACUUUAGUGAGAGGAGAUUGUUCGGAGUCAUGCUUUCAUCGAUAAAUCCAUGAGCAUAUCUUUUCUUUAUUUUAUUCUCUAUAUUUUUUUCUUUAUCAUUGUUAAUUGAAUGUUUGUGUAAAGAUUAGAAUCAAUUUAUAAUUUAUAUAUAUUUUGCAUGUUUCAAUUUUACUAAUCUUAUUACUUGAUUGAUUGGUAGAGUUCAUUUGGAUUGGUUAGAUCUGGUUGAGUGUUAUUAAACCCUAGGGUUUACGAUCCUAGGAAGUCAUCUAGGUAGGAAUUAACUUGAAAUUGGUAUUUCUUACAAAUCAUUACUUAGCAGAUCAGUGGUUAGGGAAGGAAGAACUUAAACCCUAUGAUAGACAACACUAGGAAGUCAUAUAGUUAUGAAUUAACCCAAAUUUGGUAUUGCCUAUCCAUGAAAACCUUAUCCUACCCCAUUCUAAACUAUAUCAUUGAGAGGUGAGUAGUUCUUGUCGUCUAGUUAGGUUAGUAGAAGUUGAGAAGCCCUGCUAGGUUAAUUAGUAACCAACUAUUUAAAUCCCUACAUUAAUAAUUAAUUAGGUAAAACAAUUGAAUCUAGGCUUAAGAAACUCCCGUAGUCGAAACAAGGGAUAGGAGAAGUUGAUACAUGAACUUAGGAAUAGAUUUAAGUUUAGUUCAAUUUAUUUGGUUAUUAUUAUUAUCAUCUUACUUUCAGAUUAACACUACUAAUCUGAAACUUUAGUAGAUUAGUAGUGAUUUUCGGUAAUUUGCCUAAAAGUAGUUUUUUUUCCAAACUGCAAUCCCUAGGGUAUAAUCCUCGGAAUACUUACCCAGUGUUUCAUUGUAAACAAACUAUAUUACAACCUGACCCAUAUACUUGUAGACACCACCUCAAUUCCAUAUAUUUUGUAACAGUAUUCAUACUUUCGAUGUUGGUAUGUCGAGAGGUGGUCAUUUAGCAAUUUCUAUUCAAAAGUGCAUGUAAGAAAGGAGUCUAGCUAGCUACUCACUAAUUGCUAUAGUACGACAAACCAUUAAUGAAGUUAAUUAAAGCUAAUUACUUAUCUAAGACAAAAAAGGACUAAAUUGUAAAUAACGCAAAACAAAAAAACUACUAAUUAAGAUAAUAGACAAUGGAUGGUUGAUUUCCAUGUUAAUUAACCCUCGAAUUAGGGAUCUAUAUUGCUCACAUUCCUAAGUUGGCUCAAUUUUAUCUUCCGAUCUCAAUUUUACCGACUUAGAUGAAUUAGUUCAGAUUUCACCGAUUAAUCCGGGACUAAUGGACAGGUGUACAACAAGAUUAUUUUAUCUUCCGAUCUCAAUUUUACCGACUUAGACGAAUUAGUUCAGAUUUCACCGAUUAAUCCGGGACUAAUGGACAGGUGUACAACAAGAUUACCUUCCGGUCUCACUUGCCUAAAUAUUCCCUUAUGGGCGUCACUUCCUAAGUUUUUAGAUUUAUUCGAUUUAUUCUCAUUUUGUAAUUUAGUCCCCGAACUCAAAAACUAACCUAGCAACAUUUUCAUCAAACACCUAGUGUUUAGUUACCCAUUACCAUAUUAAAGCUAACAAACAUGAAAGAAACAACUAUGGAACCUGUUAACAUAAACUUGAACAAAAAGAUAAAAGCUUUGAUUUUUAACUUUAUAAAUUUAAAUGAAAAGCAACUAACACAAAGAUAAAGAAACAAGAACACUAAAGAUAAUAGCUUUAACAGAUUAAAAGAAAGAAAACUCAUAUAGCAUUAACUCGAAGAUUAAAAAGUGAUUACAACUAAGUUGAAAGUAUUUAACAUGUAAAUAAAAAUAAGCUAUAGGAAAAACUAACUUAACUAACAACUAUGAAAAUAAGUAAAACCAGAAAGAAACAUAAACUAAAACCCUGAAACUAUAGAGAAGAAAACUACCCUACUCCUAAGUUAGAAGAUGAAAGAAACCCUAAAACUAAAGAGCUUUCUAACCUAAAACUACAACCUUUUUUUUUCUUAGCCAAGAGUGGCUUUUAAUAGUUGAUUCCUGACCCCAAAAAUGUUGCCCAAAUUUACACAUCAAUUUGUGGUAGAUUAAUGGCAAAGGGUCUAUACACCACAAUUUGGUCUAUCUUUGUUUCUCCUAUGUCUAUCAAGCUUUUCACUUCCAUUCAAGUCACUCCCAACCUUACCAUGUGAAGCACUAUUUGUAUCCUUCAACUUUGAUUUGCAUGUGAAUGCCAAGAAGGUCGUUUGUCUUCUAAAUUUGAGGUCUAAAUUUGUUUCUUUGACUGGACCCAAGAAGAUUGACUUUAACAAGCAUCAUUACUUAAAAGUACACCUAUUGUAACACCCCCUAACCCUGUCUCGUUACCGAAAUAGGAUUAUAGAGCAUUACCGAUCAUUACAAUACGUUUGCACAUAAAAAACAAAUAAAUGCAAUACUAUAUAUCUAAUCAUAGCUUUAAUGGACACACAGUACUUAUUAAGUAUAAAUAAAACAAAUCGAGGCUCGAUUGGGAGCUUAGAACAUUUUUCGUGCAAUUUUAAAUUUUCUUCUUUUGAACAGUACCACACGCCCAUGUGGCUAAUAUAACACGCCCGUGUGGCUUGGUACAUGUCAUUAUCAAUAAUUAACAUGUGUUACAAAUGUAUGUACAAUAUUUAUUACACAUGUAUUUUAUUUUUACCAUACACUUGUCUUUCUUUUAUUUAUUUAAUAAUAAUUAAUAUUAUUAAUUUAAAACCUUAAACAUAUAAAAAUCCAAUAAAAAUCUUAGAUUUUAUCUAAGCUUGUCGUCUUAUCUAUAGUAAAUUGGCUUAAUUAUCAUUUUGAUCCUUUUUAUUUUCUUUUAAUCUACAAUUAAACCUUCACACUUCAUUCAAUUUAAUCAUUUUUCCUAAUUAUCCUUAAUUUAAGCUAUUUCACUUCAUUAAACUUUAAUUAACCACUCAAUUAACUUCAUAAAUAUUUUUAAUAAAUAUUUACGAGUCCAUUUUUCAGAAAUGGAGACCUAAAAAUACACUUUUCCGAUAACCGUAAAGUUCGGGUCAUUACAAUUCUCCCCCUUAAUAAAUUUCAUCCUCGAAAUUUGCCUAAAAAGAGGUGGGGGUUCAGUGAUCUCACUGUUUCUUUCGGUUCUCGUAUUGCUUCCUCAAUAUUAUGACUUCACUUUUCAAGCUAAUAUCUCAAUCAGUUCUUCUUUUCCAUACAAUAUAUCAGUUCAAAUUUCAAUAUCAUUUGUCGAGAUAACAUGUAAGAGAUUUGAUCUAUAACUUCCGAGCAUCCAAACAUGAAAAACAUCAUAACUUUUCUGUAAUUUCAAAGGCAAAACCAAGCAAUAUAUCACUGGUCUAACUUUUUCUAUAAUUUCACAUAGCCAAACAGAACAAGAACUCAAUUUCCCAACGUUUUAAGUCUUCAUACGAUUUCUGUUUGUCAAAAACUGCUUUCAGUCUAUCUCAAAUCAAUUUUAUUUUCUUCAGUUUCCCGAAUCAAAAUAACUCUAUCUAUUCCUUUUCUUGCUGCAUCCAGUCAAAUACUAUGAAGUUUUACAUUCACAAUCAUACAGAGCUUCAUACAGUGCUGAAAACUAUUAUCGCGUACCCAAAACUUCUUAUAUUUGUUCUAGAAUCAGAAUGUAAACUAUUUAUCUCAAUCAGAAAUAAUAGAAACUGACAUACCAUGAAUCUGACAAUCUCAGAAACCCAUAUUUCAGAUUAUACUAAGUAAGAAACUUAUUCAUACCAGAAUAAAAUAUGCAAACUUCUCCAUACCUUCGACGAUUAUUCAAAUAUCAUCUUUCUUUUUCGACGAUAAGGAUAAUUUCAUUUCAAACCCAUAGAAAUACUAUCCCAUUUCCAUUUUGAUAUCAUCACUGGCUGUAACAGUCCUGAAGGUAUCAAUAUCUGAUGUUCACUUUGUAAGAGUAUGCCCAAAGAUCAAUCAUGAGAUGGUUGUAAUAACAUACUUGAUUUACCAUGUUUAUUAAUAUAAGGCGUUGCCAUUAUUAUUUCAGUUUCUUUUCUGUGUGUAUAAAUAAACUGUUUUAUAAUAAUGUCCUGAGAAUAAUAUGAUUAUUCUUAAAAGGUCAUUAGUCAAGUAUUAUUGUUGACUAGGACAACAAUAAUGCAUUAAAAAUAACAUGUAGUUGAUUGAUGAUAAAGAGUUGUUAUGGAGUGUCAGAAUCAAUGCAUGAAUAUGUGUGUUAGAGAACAACAUAUUGGACUGACCCGCUAUAAGUAUGGUUCUUAGAUUAUUAUGUAAUUGUCACAACAUUACUCAUAGUGAUUAAUAUGUAUAUGAUCCUCAGACUUGAGAUAAUCAUUAUCCCAACAUCGUGAGAUGUAUAUUCUGAUAUAGUCAAAUGUACACCGUAACUGGUUAUUUUAUAAAGGCUGAUGUUGGAUAUACCACAAUCUAUGUAGAGGGAUAUGGUUGAUCAAUAUAGGAUAAGUCUCUCUUACAUAAUGGGAGUAAUAUCUUAGGCUACUUGAUUGAGUGAGACUAGAAAUGCAUGGCCAUGCUCAAAUAAGUUGAUAUGAGAUGUCAUACUUAUUUGUGUAUCAUAGUCUACUCAAGGUAUCAAGAAACAUGGGAUGGACUAUGCAAAUGUGACUAUUCCAUGACUUGUGUCCAUUCCAGAGAUAAAGGACUUAAGGAUUAAUUUAUGAAAGGUUAAUCACAAUAGGUUAUGUCGAAUCAUGACUUCUUGUAACUUAGGUAGCAAUGAUGCAUUGCUAGAUGCCACUCAUUGUUUGUAACAUUAGAAUCGUUCUAGUAUUACUGCUAACGUUACAAGAACCUAUAGGGUCACACCCUAUGGUUGAAAUGAACGGAAUAAAACAUAGUUGGUAUUGUGUUUGGUUGUCACAUGAAUUAAAUUAAUUAUAGAAUUAAUUUAAUUAGGCAAUCAAAUAUCGAACAUAUUAUAUGUACAAGGAUGUUGUACACAUAAGGAGAACAUAAUUCUAUUAAUAUAUGAAUUUGGUUCGUAUAUAAAUUUAAAUAAAUAUAGUUUACCAAAAUCUUUAUUAUAAGUAAUGUAUAAUUUUCGGUUAAAACAUUAUUAUAUUUAUUUAUUUUAAUUAUGAUUAUUAUGUUCGGAUUAAAAUUUAAUAAAUUAAGAAUUUGUUAUAUACAUACCAAUUAUAAGGGGAGUUAUAUAUUGAAAGGGAGAAAAACCCUAAAAAGUGAAUAUAUAUACAAACCCGAAGCUUUGCUACUAGGUCUAGCAGCCGUCAAGCAAAAUAUCUCUGAAAAUAGUUUUGGGGAUUUCUUCCAUUCAUUAUCAAUUGGGUGGAUUACGUAAAGGCCGGGAUCAUAAAGAUUGCGGUUUGGAUUCAAAAGCAAAAUAGUAUUCUCAUUGCUGAGGCUUUACUGUCUACUCAGAUUGAAAUUUUUGUAAUUUCGAAACCUUUUUCACCCCGAUUCGUUCCUCGCACAUGGAUCCAUGGUUUGGAUAGUCGGAAUAUUUUUUUCACUGUGCCAUGGGGGUACGGGUAUUCCAAUAGUGGUAUCAGAGCCACUUGUGUGAUACGGACUCGGGUUUAAAUACUUGGGUGAUACAAUUGUAUGAGAUGCAUGCUUUAUUUUUAUUACGAUUUUUGACUAUUUAUAUCGUCUAAGCAUAAACUGAUUACCGUUCCUUUCGAUAAUUGAUUAAAUGUUAAUCAUGGUGUUAUGGCCUAUUCAGUUUCAUGUUAUUACUGUUAACUUUAAAAAUCUGUAAUGAUGCGACGGUGGUAUUUAUAGUUUCCAGUAAGAGUUAACUGGCUAGUGGAACAAGGGUUGUUCCGAUAUGAAACCUCAAGGAUUCAAAUCCUGAAAACACGAUUCUGUUGAUAAAAGUUAUCAAAUCGUGAGCUUUCAUUUGACUGGGGUAUGCGGUUCCCAUCAUCUUUCAGUAUGUUUUGUAAUAAAUAAAACCUGAUGGGCCAUAAAAGGUUGAAAGGAUAUUUUAUAAUUCAUUUAGCAAAACGUUGAAUGAUGUAUGCUAUUUUUGAAAUGCACGGUGUUUGAAAUGCAUAGUUAUAGCCCGAUGACCCAUUUGAUAAAAUGUUGUAAUUUUAUAAAUACAACCUGCGUGUUGUGCCUUACUACUAUUCUCUUCUAUUUCUCUUCUCACCUUACUCCCUCGUAUGUAAAACGAGUUUCUGAAUAUUGUAAUUUGCAAAAGCUGCUAUGGACUAGACGAGAAGGAAGAUGAGCCAACUAAUGUGGACUGACAGCUUGUGAAACGGCUUACACCUUUAGGUUUCCUUUUGGUUCUCCCAUUGGCUUGGGUUGAACCACCAUAGUUUAUGGGCUAUAAUGCAUUUAUUUAUUGCUUUAUCUAUUCAUGUAUGAGAUGCUAUAGAUGUCCAAAGCAUACAAAUUUGGUAAUAAUAAACCCUAUUAAUUGAUGAGAUCAAUUAAAAUAUUAAAUGGACUGAAGUAGACCAUAAUUGGUGAGAUACAACAACUUUAAUAAAAUCCCUCUAUUUAAAUAUUAAGUCAACAUGGCCUUCCAAAUUUUUCCCUCAUUAAGGCCUCGAUCAAUACUAUGUAGGUUCUGCCAAAGUGAAGUAGUAGUAUUUAUCUUGGUUAAACGCGAAGAAUAAACAAGUGAUAUUCGCUAUUUAAAAAUUGGUUAAUGACUUAACUAGGUUACUCUAAUAGGAUUAGAAACCUAGAAGCAAGUAAUUUGGAUAAAUCAUAAGAUGAUUAGAACAAGAGUUGUUCAUCAAAUUGUAGGAGUUACAUAUGAUGUAAUUAGCAAGUGUUGCUUACCUAAAUAACCAUAAUCUUGAGAGUAAAGCCAAAGCUGACUUAAGAGGAGGUGAAAUAUGGAUCCUUAACCCACUAGAAAUACUUUCAAGAAAGUCUUUCUGAAAUUAAUAUAUGAGGGUUAUUAAUUUUGAAAUAAAAUAGUAGGAACAUCAUAUAAUAAAGUCCUUUUAAUGAUUGAUAUAAACUUGGUAAAUUUAUUCACACGCAUAUUUUAUUGUUGUAGAUAUAUUAUGGCUGCAAACACUAAUACACUCUCAUUGCGAUCGAUUCUUAAGAAGGACAAAUUGAAUGGUUUGAACUUUCUUGACUAGUACCGUAACUUGAGGAUUGUCCUCAAACAAGAACGGAAAUUAUAUGUCAUUGAACAACCACUUCCUAAUGAACCACCCGCUAAUGCCUCGAGGGCUGAUAGAGAUGCUUACAAGAAACAUCUCGAUGACAUGGUAGAUGUUGGAUGUAUUAUGCUUGCUACUAUGAAUCCUGAGCUUCGGAAGCAACAUGAGGACAUAGUUGCUUAUGAUAUGAUCGAGCACCUGAAAGAACUUUAUCAGGGGCAAGCACGGCAAGAGAGGUUCGAUAUCUCUAAGGCCCUUUUCCAAUGUAAGCUGGAUGAAGGAAGCCCAGUAAGACCUCAUGUCCUUAAGAUGAUUGGUUAUAUUGAAAGCCUAUCUAAGCUUGGGUUUCCAUUGAGCCAAAAGUUGGCAACUGAUGUUAUUCUGCAAUCGUUGCUGGAUAGCUACAGCUAGUUUGUCCUCAAUUUCAAUAUGAAUAAAAUUGACAAGACUCUGCCACAGCUGCUCAGUAAGUUGUGAACUGCUGAAGGCAACAUGAAAAAGGUUGGACCCAAGCCCAUACUGAUGGUCCGUAACAACAAGGGCAAGGGAAAGGCCAAAGUUCAGGCAAAGCCCAAGGGCAAAGGUAGGCCCAAUCCUGGAAAAGGAAAGGUUGCACUGAAACCUAAAGGUGGGGUGUCUAAGGAAGGAAACUAUUUUCAUUGUGGUGUGACUGGACAUUGGAAGCGGAACUGCCCUCUCUAUCUUGAGGAAAUCAAGAAGGCCAAGGCAAGCGGAACGUCUGCUUUAGGUAUUUAUGUUAUUGAUAUUAAUUUAUCAAUUACUACUUUUUGGGUAUUAGAUACUGGUUGUGGUUCUCAUAUUUGUACUUCUGUACAAGGACUACAAAGGAAUAGGACUUUGGCUAGAGGAGAUAUGGACCUGGGAGUUGGAAAUGGAGCAAGAGUUGCUGCAAUAGCUGUGGGAACAUAUACUUUAUCUUUUCCUAGUGGACUUGAUUUAUGUUUAGAGGAUUGUUAUUUUGUGCCCAUUUUAACUAAAAACAUUAUUUCAAUUUCUCGUUUAGACAAAAUUGGUUUUGAGAUAAUUAUUAAUAAUAAUUGUUGUUCAUUUUAUCUCAAUAAUGUUUUCUAUUGUUCGGCACAAUUGAUUAAUGACCUCUAUAUUUUAGAUCAAAUAAAUCUCAUUUACAACAUAAAUACUAAAAGAUCUAAAAUAAAUGACUCAAAUCAAACUUAUCUUUGGCAUUGUCGUUUGGGCCACAUAAGUAAGAAACGCAUAUUCAAACUCCAUAAAGAUGGUCUCUAGGAUGCAUUUGUUUUUGAACAAUUUGAAGUAUGUGAAUCUUGCUUAUUGGGAAAAAUGACUAAAUCUCCUUUUACUGGUAAAAGUGAACGAGCUAGUGAUUUAUUAGGCUUAAUACAUUCUGAUGUAUGUGGACCAAUAAAUACACUGGCCAGAGGUGGAUUUCAUUACUUUAUUACUUUCACUGAUGAUUUUAGUAGAUAUGGGCAUGUUUAUCUCAUGCGCCAUAAGUCUGAGGCCCUUGAAAAGUUCAAGGAAUUCAAAAAUGAAGUACAAAAUCAACUAGGCAAAACUAUCAAGGCACUUCGAUCUGAUCGAGGUGGAGAGUAUUUGAGCUUAGAGUUUGAUGAUCUUUUGAAGGAAUGUGGGAUUGUCUCACAACUUAAUCCUCCUGGUACUCCUCAAUGGAAUGGAGUUUCUGAAAGAAGAAAUCGAACUCUGUUAGACAUGGUUCGAUCCAUGAUAAGUCAUGCUGAUCUACCGACUUCCUUUUGGGGACAUGUACUUGAAAAAGCUACUUUCACACUAAAUCGUAUUCCAUCUAAAUCAAUUCAAAAGACGCCAAAUGAGAUGUGGACUGGGAAACGUCCCAAUAUGUCUUUUAUGAAAAUUUGGGGUUGCUAAGCUUAUCUUAAAUGUUAGACGUCUACUAAGCUUGAACCCAAAUCUGAAAGGUGUAUUUUUGUGGGGUAUCCGAAAGAAACCAAAGGAUAUUAUUUCUUUAAUCCCACUGAGAACAAGAUGUUUGUUGCUCGGACUGGUGUCUUCUUAGAGAGAGAAUUUGUUUCUAGAAAAGGAAGUAGGAGAAAGAUUAAACUUGAAAAAAUUCGAGAAUCACAAGAUACCACUGAACUAGAGAUAGAACAACAGUAAAUUCCACAAGAAAUUGAGGAACAAGUAACUGCUGUAGAAACACAAUCACCGCCGCAGAUCUUUAAGAGAACGCCAUACACCUGAGAGAUAUGGAUUUCUCAUUACAACACAUGGUGACGUUCUUCUUAUCGAUCAAUAUGAGCCUAGAACUUAUCAAGAAGCGGUGACGAGCCCAGACUCUGAGAAAUGGCUUGAAGCCAUGAGAUCUGAGAUGGAAUCCAUGUAUGAAAACCAAGUAUGGAGUACGAUUGACCCACUCGAAGGGGUUAAACCCAUAAGGUGCAAAUGGGUUUUCAAAAAAAAACCGACAUGGAUGGUAAUGUACAAACAUACAAGGGGCGAUUAGUCGCUAAAGGUUUUCGCCAAAUUCAUGGUGUUGACUAUGAUGAAACCUUUUCUCCUGUAGCUAUGUUUAAAUCCAUCAGGAUCUUGCUCGCCAUAGCUGCAUUUCAUCAUUAUAAAAUCUAGCAGAUGGACGUCAAAACAGCUUUCCUUAACGGGAAACUUGAAGAGGAUGUGUACAUGACACAGCCUGAAGGUUUUAUCAAUCCAAAGGAUGCUAAAAAGAUAUGUAAGCUACAAAGAUCCAUUUAUGGAUUAAAGUAAGCUUCUCGAAUUUGGAAUCUUCGUUUUAACGAUGCAAUCAAAGAGUUUGGUUUUAUCAAAAAUGAAAAUGAGCCAUGUAUUUACAAGAAAGUUAGUGGGAGCACUAUCACAUUCUUGGUACUAUAUGUGGAUGACAUACUUAUCAUGGGAAAUGACAUACCUACCUUGCAGUCUAUUAAGACUUGGUUAGGAAGUUGUUUUUCUAUGAAGGACUUGGGCAAAACCACUUACAUAUUAGGAUUCAAGAUCUAUAGAGAUAGAUCAAGACGAUUACUAGGUCUAAGCCAAAGUACAUACAUAGAUAAAGUAUAGAAAAGGUUCAACAUUGAAGAAUCUAAGAGAGGAUUCCUACCUAUGAGGCAUGGUAUUUCACUCUCGAAGGAAAUGUGUCCUUCAACUCUACAAGAGAGAGAACGCAUGAGUAAAAUUCCAUAUGCUUCUGCUAUUGGAUCUAUCAUGUAUGCCAUGUUAUGUGCCCGUCCAGAUGUCUCAUAUACCUUAAGUAUGACGAGCAGGUACCAAGUAGAUCCCGGUGAAGGUCACUGGACCACAGUCAAGAAUAUUCUUAAGUACUUGAGAAGAACAAAGGAUACAUUCCUAAUAUAUGGAGGUGAGGAAGAGUUAAGUGUAAAAGGUUACACCGAUGCCAGCUUCCAAAUCGACAAGGAUAAUUCUCGAUCUCAAUCAGGUUUUGUGUUUUGCCUUAAUGGUGGUGCAGUGAGCUGGAAGAGUUCAUAGUAAAGUAUAGAAGCCGAUUCUACAACAGAGGCCGAGUAUAUUGCAGCCAGUGAGGCAACAAAAGAAGCAGUUUAGAUCAAGAAUUUCAUCACUGGACUAGUGAUUGUGCCUAGCAUAUCAGAUGCUAUAGAACUCCGAUGUGAUAACAAUGGAGCCAUUGCACAAGCUAAAGAACCCAGAUCUCACUAGCGAUCCAAACAUAUACUUAUGCGCUACCAUAUUAUUUGAGAGAUUAUCGAUCGAGGGGAUAUAGAGAUAUGUAGAGUAACUACAAAUGACAACAUUAUUGAUCCCUUUACCAAGCCUCUAACACAGCAGAAGCAUGAUCGUCACACUAAGUCACUUGGUAUUAGAUAUAUGAGUGAUUGGUCUUAGUGCUAGUGGGAGAUUGUAAGAGUAUGGCCAAAGAUCAAUCAUGAGAUGGUUGUAAUAACAUACUUGAUUUACCAUGUUUAUUAAUAUAAGGUGUUGCCAUUAUUAUUUCAGUUUCUUUUAUGUAUGUAUAAAUAAACUGUUUUAUAAUAAUGUCCUGAGAAUAAUAUGAUUAUUCUUAAAAGGUCCUUAGUCAAGUAUUAUUGUUGACUAGGACAACAAUAAUGCAUUAAGACUAACAUGUAGUUGAUUGAUGAUAAAGAGUUGUCAUUGAUAUGGAGUGUUAGAAUCAAUGCAUGAAUAUGUGUGUUAAAGAACAACAUAUUAGACUAACCCGCUAUGAGUAUGUUUCUUGGAUUAUUAUGUAAUUGUCACAACAUUACUCAUAGUGAUUAAUAUGUAUAUGAUCCUCAGACUUGAGAUAAUCAUUAUCCCAACAUCGUGAGCUGUAUAUUUUGAUAUAGUCAAACGUACACUAUAACUGGUUGUUUUAUAAAGGCUGAUUUUGGAUAUACCACAAUCUAUGUAGAGGAAUUUGGUUGAUCAAUAUAGGAUAAGUCCCUCUUACAUAAUGGGAGUAAUAUCUUAGGCCACUUGAUUGAGUGAGACUAGAAAUGCAUGGCCAUGCUCAAAUAAGUUCAUAUGAAAUGUCAUACUUAUUUGUGUAUCAUAGUCUACUCAAGGUAUCAAGAAACAUGGGAUGGAUUAUGCAAGUGUGACUAUUCCAUGACUUGUGUCCAUUCCAGAGAUAAAGGACUUAAGGAUUAAUGCAUGAAAGGUUAAUCACAAAAGGUUAUGUCGAAUCAUGACUUCUUGUAACUUAGGUAGCAAUGAUGCAUUGCUAGAUGCCACUCAUUAUUUGUAACAUUAGAAUCGUUCUAGUAUUACUGCUAACGUUACAAGAACCUAUAGGGUCACACCCUAUGGUUGAAAUGAACGGAAUAAAACAUAGUUGGUAUUGUGUUUGGUUGUCACAUGAAUUAAAUUAAUUAUAGAAUUAAUUUAAUUAGGCAAUCAAAUAUCGAACAUAUUAUAUGUACAAGGAUGUUGUACACAUAAGGAGAACAUAAUUCUAUUAAUAUAUGAAUUUGGUUCAUAUAUAAAUUUAAAUAAAUAUAGUUUACCAAAAUCUUUAUUAUAAUUAUGUAAUAAUAAUUUUCGGUUAAAAUAUUAUUAUAUUUAUUUAUUUUAAUUAUGAUUAUUAUGUUCAGAUUAAAAUUUAACAAAUUAAGAAUUUGUUAUAUACAUACCAAUUAUAAAAGGAGUUAUAUAUUGAAAGGGAUAAAAACCCUAAAAAGUGAAUAUAUAUACAAACCCGAAGCUUUGUUACUAGGUCUAGCAGCCGUCAAGCAAAAUAUCUCUGGAAAUAGUUUUGGGGAUUUCUUUCGUUCAUUGUCAACUGGGUGGAUUAUGUAGAGGUCGAGAUCAUAAAGAUUGUGGCUUGGAUUCAAAAGCAAAAUAGUAUUCUCAUUUCCGAGGCUUCACUGUCUACUCAGAUUGAAAUUUUGGUAAUUUUGAAACCUUUUUCACCCCGAUUCGUUCCUCGCACAUGGAUCCAUGGUUUGGAUCGCUGGAAUAUAUAUAUAUAUUCCACUAUGCCAUGGGGGUACUGGCGUUCCAACAUAGUUUUCAUCUAAUUUACGAGAUUAUUCAUCUCCAGUAUACGUUUCAUAAUCAAUACCAUCGAUAUGUUCAUCUAACAUUUUCAACUAUAAAACAGAACCAAGCAAUUAUAUCAGCAUCCGAUCCCGACUCAAGUUUAACAUAGAAAUGGCAUGUACUUUUAGAAUCUUUUCUAAACUCUAUUUAGUCCUAGAAUCGACUAAACCUAAGUAGCUCUGAUACCACUAAAUGUAACUUCCCCUAACCCCGUCCCGUUCCCAGAACAAUAUUAUAGAGCAUUACCGAUCAUUACAAUACGUUUGCAUAUAAAAAUAAAUAAAUGCAAUACUAUAUAUCUAAUCAUAGCUUUAAUGGACCCACAGUACUUAUUAAGUAUAAAUAAAACAAAUCGAGGCUCGAUUGGGAGCUUAGAACAUUUUUCGUGCAAUUUUAAAUUUUCUUCUUUUGAACAGUACCACACACCUGUGUGGCUAAUAUAACACGCCUGUGUGGCUUAGGACACGUCCGUGCCCUUAGCCCGUGUGCAACAUUGAAUUUAAAACACGGCCUUGACACACGCCCGUGUGUCAGGCUGUGUGGACUCAAUAAUGAGCCUUUCACACUUUACUAGCCAACCCUGCAAAAUUUCAAUCUACAACCAAUACAAAUAUUUUAUAUAUAUAUACUAUCCAAUUUUAGCAAUAAAACAUACAUCCAAUUUGCCCUCAGUGGUACCACAAUUUAUAUCAAUUAAACAUUAUCAUACAAACCUAAUUAAUUUUCUUAGGUUUAGUUACCAAAAUUUACAUGUUUCAUACAUAAUUCAACAUCGUUAUAUCUUUCAUUACCAUUUACAAACAUUAACUUAAUGAUCUAGGUACAUGCCAUUAUCAACAAUUAACAUGUGUUACUAAUGUAUGUACAAUAUUUAUUACACAUGUAUUUUAUUUUUACCAUACACUUGUCUUUCUUUUAUUUAUUUAAUAAUAGUUAAUAUAAUUAAUUUAAAACCUUAAACAUAUUAGAAUCCAAUAAAAAUCUUAGAUUUUAUCUAAGUUUGUCGCCUCAUCUAUAGUAUAUUGGCUUAAUUUCCAUUUUGAUCCUUUUUAUUUUCUUUUAAUCUACAAUUAAAUUUUCACACUUCAUUCAAUUUAAUCCUAUUUCCUAAUUAUCCUUAAUUUAAGCUAAUUCACUUCAUUAAACUUUAAUUGACCACUCACUUAACCUCAUAAAUAUUUUUAAUAAAUAUUUACGAGUCCAUUUUUCAGAAAUAGAGACCCGAAAAUAUACUUCUCCGAUAACCAUAAAGUUCGGGUCAUUACACCUAUGAUAAUUUUUCCUUUAGACCCAAAAUUUUAGUUAAUAAAAGUUGAACCAAGUAUUUUGUAAUUGGUGAUGUCAUAUCCUGUUAAUGUAGCAUGCUUCCACCCACCUAUAGAAAGAACUAUAAUCUAUUGUAAGAUGGCCAUUCAUGCAACAACUCGCAUGUCUGAUGAACAGGCUAAAUGCUAGAAUUGUGCACUUCCAGUUGGUGGAUUAUCAAGCAAAAAGACUUUGGCAAAAAAUGUGGCGAACAGUCCAAGUGUAAGGCAUAAUGGCGGACAAUCUAACCACCAACUGCCUUGAAGCUUUUGUUACAAGCUAACAAGUUUUCAACUUGUUCUAUAAAGUUGCAAGAUUAUUUUAUUUAUCUUUAUUUUGAUAGGUUAAUGUAAACAGUGUUGAUUAAACAAAAAUCAACUAAUGAGUAGGUACCAUGUAUUUAGACUUACCAACUUGUCAAGUUGUAGUUAAUACUUUUCUAUUUAAAGCUAUAUAUUUGAUUGCUAAUCUUUGCUUUGUUUUCUUUUUCCUUUGUAUCAAAAACCAACAAUUGGUACCUAGAGCCAGUCAUUUUUUAGGGCAUUUGAUUUAUCAAAAACCUAUGUUUCUUUGUUGUUUUGUAAAAAUGUCUUCAACUAGUUUUAUACCUCAUGCACCACUAGUUUUUAAUGGUGAAAACUACCAUAUUUUGGUAGUCAAGAUGAAGACCUACUUAAAAUUUUUUAACUUAUGGGAGGUUGUGAGUGCAGAUGUAGAGCCACCAUCAUUAAGAGCCAAUUCGACUUUAACAUAGAUUAGGCAGCAUAAUGAUGAUCAUGCUAAGAAAUUCAAGGUAAUUUCGUGUCUUCAUAAUGGUGUUUCUGAUGUGAUUUUCACGAAAAUUAUGGCCUAUGAGACUCCAAAACAAGCUUGGGAUAAGUUGAAGGAAGAGUUUUAAGGUACAGACAAAACAAGACAGCAACAAAUUAUCAACUUGAGGAUAGAUUUUGAGAACCUAAAGAUGAAGGAGUCUGAAACUAUUAAACAGUAUUCUAACAAAAUCAUGGAUGGUAUAAACAACAUAAGAUUUCUUGGAGAUUAGUUUCCUGAUAGCAGAGAAGUUGAGAAGGUGAUCAUUACACUUCCUAAGAGGCAUGAGUGAAAAAUAUCCUCUCUUGAAGAUUCGAGAGACCUAUCAACAAUCUCUCUAUCAUAACUAAUAAAUUCAUUGUAUGCUCAAGAACAAAGGAGAGUUGCAAGGUAGAAGAAGCAUGUUGAGGGAGCUUUUCAAGCAAGAAAUUAGGAAGGCUUGAGCUCCUCUAACAAUAAAGGAAAGAAAAUCAGGUAAAAAAGACAGAGAGGUCGAGGAGAGAAGGUGUAAAGAAGAAAUAUCCAUAAUGCUCUCGCUAUAAAACGAUUACUCAUUGUGAGAAGUUUUGUUGGUUCAGACCAGACAUACAAUGCAAAACUUGCAAGCAGUUUGGACACGUAGAGAAGGUUUGCAAUAAUAAAGUGUGAAAACCCAACAGCCACAACCACAUUAGAAUAUCCAGGCUUAAGCAACUAAGAGAAAUCAUGCUUAGGAGGAGCAAGUGUUCGUAACCUCUUGUUUUGCACCUAAAAACAAAAUCACAAAAGGUUGGCUAAUCGACAAUGGAUGUACCAACAUAUGACCUCAAAUGAAGCAUCUUCAAAAAGAUUAAUAAAAGUUGCAUUUCAAAAGUGAGGGUUAGAAAUGGCGAACUCAUACAAGCCAAAAGCAAAGUAGGUGUACUGAUCAAUAAGUUAUCAGGUACAAAAGUAAUUUCAGAUGUUCCUUUAGUACCUGAAAUAGAUCAUAAUCUUCGAUAAAGAUAUGAGGCUUUUUUUGGGGACUUCUAAUGUUAGAAAUGUUAGUAAAAAGGUAUAUGAAUAGAUUUUGAUGUGUUUUUAUGUUCUAUAUCAAUGGUUCCUGUUGAUUGCUUUGCGAUGGGUGAGAAUCAGAUGAGUCUCUAAACUGACUUUUGUGUGUAUUAUUCAUACUAGAAAAGCUGUAAGAAAUUGGUUGGAAGGUGAUGUGUGGUCUUGUAAGUUACAGUAUGUUGUGUAUGUGACUUAGGAGUGACUAUUAAAGGAUAUAUAUGACUGUGUCAAUGUUUAUUAAGAAUAGAAUGCAUAUCUGGUAUGAAUAUGAUAGUUCUAGUAAGGCGAUAUGAGGUAUGGUUGCAUCUGAAUGUCAUGAAUAUAUAUGUGUGUGUCUUUGAUGUAUGCUAUGAGGAAUGUUUUUUUAAGAGUAAGUUGUUAUUCAAAUGGUGAAUUUGGAUCAUGUCAGUGCAUGUAGAGUAUGUGUCUGUCUUCGCGGUAUUGUCUAAAGGAGUCUGUUAGGACUUUAAGUACAAAUUCUGAAAAGAAAAUUCCAUGCCUUCCAAAAGGAACUAAAUGAUGGUAAUUACCCAAUGGGGUUAUCUGCGUAUCCCAGGAUGAUGAUAGGAAAACCUCACGCAAUGUGAGUUUAAGAAAAUCCAUAUGUAAACACGUCAGGAAAUGAAGCCUUUGUAGAUAACUUUAAAAAGAAAGCCUUUGUGGCUAACUCUGAAAAGGAAGCCUUCAUGUCAAACUCUGAAGGAAUAGCCUCUAUGGUAAGCCUUUGUGGUGUAAUGUAAAAGGAACACCUAUGUGGCGAAUUAUGAAAAUAAUAGCCUUUGUGGUGGAUUAUGAAAGAGCACCAUUCAUAGCGAAAUUCGAAUGGGCUACCCUUGUGGCAUGUCUUAAUAAAGCUCUUAGUGGGAAAUGUUUAAAAGAUGACCCUUGUGGUAAUUUUUGAAUUAAGCUAAUUGUCGUAUUCAAUUUGGCUUUCAAAUGUAUUCAGAACACAAGCAGCAAGGUAUAAGUUAUCUAUUAAUUAUACGGUGAAGUAUCACAUAAGACUAUCAAUCGAUUAAAAGUAUUGAAUUGAAGAGAUAUAGAGAAAUGAGGAAUUAGUAUGGGAAGUGUAUUCAGAAUAAGGAUUUGAAAUUGUACGUUUGAAGAAGGUAUCUGUCAUCUAUGCACAUGGUCAUACUUGAAUCAUGGUGAAGUGAUGGCUUAGAACUAAGUAUGUUACAGUAAUAGUGUGUUGGUUAAGUUGAUCUUGGAAAGGAAAUGAAAAAAUACUUAUAAAUGCUCGAACGAAAGGCGUGCGUGAUGUAUCGAAUACCCCAAUGGAAAAAGAGUUAAUUUUUGAGUAAGGCAUGAUAUAUAUAGUGUAUGAAGAAUGGAAUUUGACGGAAGCAAUCGCCAAAGACAGGUUUUGAGAGUAAAUCCUAUCUACAAUUGAGAUUCUUAAAGGAUAGAAUCAAUCUUUUAAGAUUACAAAAUCAAGUCUUAUCAUGUUACAUAUCUUCUAAGAUUGGUUUCCUUAUUUGCCAAUAUAGCCCAAAUUUUCCAUAAAUGCUUCACUGGACCACCAAGGCUUCAAGGAGACAGGCUUCUCCACAUGCUCCACAAAUUGAGCCAAUUCAAAUGCGUCGAAUGAGCCCCAUUUCAUCAUUUGACCUCCAUGGAACAAUCUUUGCACAUUCAUCACGGGCUCUGAUCCGCGGCCUAUGACAUAAGCACAUAAAUGUUUAGUAAGUUCAAUUGGCAAGUAUUAUACUUACCUUGCUAGGUGGACCUACAAAUUCAUUGCUCAACAAGCUUCAUAUUCUCAUGUUAGUUACUUAGGAUAAGAUAAGGCAAAUGUAUAGGUAACCAUGUUCAUUAAUACCAUACAAGCAAAUUAUAACAUGUCCAAUAAGUGUUCAUUAUAUUCUAUUGAUCACAUGUGCACCUAUUUCCAAUUUAUUACAACCUUUCAAUUACAAUUCACAAGUUAAAAUAAUCAAGUUCAUACCUUUUUCAACCUUAAUUAUUUUAUUUAACCAUUUCUUGUCUGAUAUCAAUUUUGUAGCCCAUGUAAUCUUAGUAAAAUAGGACCCAAGUACUAUGAGAAAACCAAAAACUGUAUGAGCAUCGAAGUGCUAAGCUCGAAGACUAUCACAUAUCAUAUCAUGUAGGCCUCCGAAGAGGUAUUGAAAGUCUAAUGGUCUACAACAAAUGUUUUACCAAGGGUAAGAUAGAACUAGGUCUUCAGAAAACAAACCACAUACCUCUGAACCUCACACCACAACAAAAGUACUUAGGUGUAAGGCAUGAAGGCAACGUAUAACAAAUAGGCUCAAAGGCGACAUACACAUAUAACCCUAAUUGACAUGCCAAUCAUAUCCUAACCUUUCUACCAAGUUUACAUGAGCUAUCAUUAACAUAUUAAAGAAUUCACAUCAAGUACCAUUAAAGCAAUUUUUCACAUGUAUUGUCAUAUUUCCAUAAUGCCACACUUUAAUCACAAGAGUUAAAAUCUUCAACUGAGGUUUUCAUACCACAUGAAUUUACAUGUUUGUUCAUUCACAUUAACAUGGUUACUAAUCUCAUAAUCAUACUAAAUCUUAACUUGACAUAGUCAAUUACCAUAUUUAACACCUUGUUUCAUAUUUAAUUCUUUGCACAACAUGGUUUAGUCUAUAAACAUAUUAACUAGUAUAAUCCAUUAAGGUUCUGUUAAUAUACUUGUUAAUUAAUCAUCCAUUCUUGAUCUUAGCAUGUUAUAUUCAUUAUGCAUCAAAUUAAAUGUUGUUGAGCUAUUUAACACUUAUAAACAUUGUACUAAAAACACAUAAUAAGCAAAUAUUAUAAGUUCAAGUGAACUUACCUAUUAAGAUAUGGCUAAAAUGAAUGAAAGAUCAUUUAAUGAUCAUCAAUUUAAAUUUUCAUUUCCUUAACUUAAGCUUCAUUUGGUUAGCCUUAUUCUACUCAAAAUACAUACAACACAUACAAGCAUUGAAUUAAUAAUUUGAAUCUCCUUUGGUUAGUCUUACAAGCAUUGGAUUAAUUGAAUUCAACACUUGAUAGCCAUAUAGUGGCCACUUUACUUGUUGAAAAUUCAAGAAUGCUUAACCUUUGACGCAUAGACUUUUAUAUCCAAAAUUGAUAUAACUCCCAAUUUUCCUAUUCAAUUUUUUUGUUCCAACUUUAAAAUUAUAAUUUUAAGACCUCAAAUGAUCCAAAAACAUGUUUAAACUCCAAAGUUCUCAUCAUUAUCUCUAAGGCUUCUUAAGUACUCAACAAUGUUGGUAUGAACAUCCUUCAUACCAAUUUCUAAUCUACCUUCUUUUCUAACUUACUUACACUCUUCUAAGUUCAUCCCAACAAAAGCAUUGAACUAUCAUGAUCAAGCUUUAUCUCUUUAAGUUCCAAGCAUUCAUCUAUGAUUAUCUAAGGAUUUUUCUCAUCAAUUUUAACAUCGAAAUGAAUGGGCUCAUGCUUAUCUAUUAUUUUAUGCUAUCAAUUAAACCAAAAUUCAAAGGAAACUUAUCAAUUUCUUGAAGAGCAGCUAACGGCACCAUGAAAGCUCCAUGAAAAUUUCCUUUUUCUUCUUUGUUCUUAAACGAUGGAGAAUGGAUGAGGAUGACCAUGUAAUAAGCUUAUUCUCUCACCCACUAAGCAUAUAUAUACCUAAUUAAUCAAUUUAUUAACCUUUAAUAAUAAUCAUCCAAAGUUGGGAUUUAAGCAUGACAAAUUGAGCGGAAAUCUAUGGCUUUUGCCAUGCUUCUCCACUAAGUAAAUAAAUGAUGGUUUAUUUGUCAUUUUAAGGCAUUUGAUUAAUUUUUCAUCCAAUCCUCCAAACCUUGCAAGUUCACAUUUAGAUCUUAUGCAUCAAUUAUUAAUUUAUCAAUUUAAUCCAUUAAUAAUUCUCGACAAUAUUUCAUAUCUACCUCAUUAACUUCUCGAUUAAUAAUAAAUUUUCGAAACGGCUUGAUUGAGAAAUCGAAUUAUUCCUAGCACAGCGAAAAAUGGAUCAUCAAACUAUUUUAAUUUGAUUUAUUAAUGUCUUUUCCAAAUUCGUAUUUAAUUAAUAAAUAUUCCCCAAUAACCAACACUCGACAACAGUCAUUUUGGUAGUUCAUUUGAGUUACUUUGCCAUUUCCCUUUUGCUCGGCUUGUCCUUUUUUUUUUAUUUUUCUGAUUACCUUGUUCCCUUUGACCACCUUCAUUAAUUGAUAAUUUUUCCUUGUAUUAUAGGAGAUUUAUAAAUAUUCAUAUUGUAGCAAAAGUAAACUCAAAUUUAGAGUGCACAAGGAAAUAGUCAAAUAUCUCAACUUCAAAAGCCUUUAAUUAAGCCACAAUGUGUUCGCGCACUCUAUUAACACUAGUGAAUUUCAUUAAUAAUAAUUUGAGUACUAGCUAAAAUUUUAUCCCAAGAUUUAAAUUGUCUUUCAAUAAAUCCUCGACAUUUUUGUGGUUGUGGUCUCCAAAUACUUUUGUGAUCAUCCAUAAAGAACAACUUCAGCACGUAAUUCAACUUUAUGAAUAGUCAUCACUAAUUAAAUCAUGCAUAUUAAAUUUGAUAUCAGAAAAGUUUACAAGUAGCUUCAUAAAUACAUAAUUGUGAUAUAUUUGAAUGGUUUUCCACCUCAGCAUAAACUUAUUUUAGAGUAAAUUUGUAUGCGUUUUAGUCUUGUUACAGUAUCCAAGCCUAAUGGCAAUACCUUAAUAGUAAUUAUUCUCUCUAUCUAGUACUCGAAACUGGUUUUAAAUAUCUUCCAUUCAUUCAACAAAUAGUUAUGGUCUAAAGAAAUUUCUGGAAUUCAUGGCUGCCUACUUGCGAGAGGACUAAUGAAAUAUGCGAUGCAAGUUGAUGAAAUCUUAUAAUUUGUAAUAUAAAAAACAAAAACCAUACCUCCUUAAUAACAUAAAUAACACGUUCCAUAAUCAACAUCUGAGAACUUAAAACUUAAUUGUAAUGUUGGCUGAACCAGACUCAAAAAGGGGAGAAAAGAAAAAUAAGUCCGAACCUGAAAAAACUGACCGUAUAGAAAACCCUGACAGGCAGAACAGUAGCAAGCAACAUAAAACCAAGACAUAUUCACUUAAAGCACUUGGCAUCCAAGAGAGGCUCUCCCUCAAAUGGCUCGCAGUCUUCAAUCAUCUGAUUCACCCGUUCCUUCUGGGAUGCAUCUGAGAGGUCAACCUUCUUCCACUCGUAGAGUUCCAUGUCAUAGCACUCGUCAAUCACAAAUUGAGGAAUCUCUUGCCCACGGAAAAGCCAUAGUCCUUUCACCUUGAAUGGGGGGUUAGCACCGAUCACCAACAUCUUCCCAAAUGCAUACUUGCGGGCCAAAUCCAUUCUCUGCAGGAAUCCUCCAACCUUGUUCAUUGUGACAAAUGAAACUGUAUUCUCCUCAUUGUACUUGUAGUCACAAAACCACAGUGAGUAUCCCUCGGGAUCAUACAUGUCCCAGAAUCCUGACACGAAUCAAGUAUCAGAUAUCACAAGUCCAAACAUUGCUUUUAAAAGGGAGUGCUACUGUGAAAACAACGGGAAUACCUUUAAUUGCAACCUCUCGGAAAUUGGUCUUUGUGUUAGAGUAAAGCCUUUUCCAGUCAUCCAGUACCAUCUUACUUGGAGGCAGCAAAUCAAGAGGAUUCUUUGGUUUGGGCUUUGGUGCCUCCUCCUCCUCAGCGGCCUCUGCCUUUGCUGCCUGUUUCUCAACCUCCUUUUUGGCUUCUUUCUUUGGUUCAGCCUUUGGUUUAGUUUCUUUUGGCUGGGCAGCAGGCUUCUUUGAAGGAAC
rnacentral:lncRNA from 1 species